rnacentral:lncRNA from 1 species
UUGCGUCAGGGGUUCUCAGAUAAAUUCUGGGGGCCGACAUGGCAAGGAAUGGCUGUGGGUGCUGCGCACAAAGGUGAGGGGUGCUCGGCAAGGUCACGGAGUGGCCUUUAUAUAGCACCGGGGCUGGGGUAUCUACCGGGGUGAAAGGCGACAGACUGACGAUCCUGUACUCGGGUCAAAGCCACAGAUAUACAUAUCACAUAAAGGUGACGCAUUACUGUGGGCGUUGACGGGGUUGGUCUAGGUAGCUGUGCCCGAAAAAAUAAAAGCGCAACUGUACGCCAACGUACACAUGCAUAGCUACUACUCCAAAAAUAAGAGCGCUCAAACAGACAGCAUGCAACAAAAGCGAUACAAGGCCACACAUUACAAAGCGUAGGGAAACUAAGGCACGAUAUAACUUUGAGCGACUUAGUCUACUUCGUUAAUGUCUAAGUGGGCUGGCCUUGCGGACGCCGAUGCUUCUCCACGGUUCUCACCGUCGGGAUUUGCUGGUUGAGGCUGAGGUGCUGCAGGGUCGGGGAGAUGGUGAUGACCAUCCCGGGGGUUGUUGGCCCAAAUCCCGUUGGAAUGAGUUUCCAAAAGGCGACGAAGCGCUUCUGGGGUCACCAAAGUGCUCUGGUGGAUGGCUGGAGCAGACCUCGGGGGAUCGAUCGGGUGUCCGAACAGCACGACUGGGUUGUCGGUUUCGGGCUCCGCUUCUCUCCUCGCCGGGGCUCGGUGAACCAGCUCUCCACGAGCUGCGAUCAGAUCCAGAGUGACCUGGUCGAACAGUUGCUCUAGUGCGCUUACAUAGCGCACCAGAUGCAGCAGCGCAGGAUCCGUCUCGUGGUCUCCGUCGGCAACUUGGGGCGGCCUACCAUACCCGUCACGACUGGGGUAGUAGUAGAACGAGCGACAGUUAACUCUGGGCGACAAGUGCCGAAGUUGAACUAUAGCUUCUCGGGCUGCCAGUUGGAUGGCUUGUGGCUCGAAGGGAGCUGUCCUCCCAGUGAACCUGUAGGGGCGUUCUAGCGACAGACCCCUACCGUAGAUGUGCACAGUGGCCCAGUACUGACGGCUUUCACCGUACAUGGGUCCUUGGUACACAACAUACUCAGGGGGCUCCUCCAACGCAUAGGCACGGCGGGUGAGGUUUGCGAGCACGGUCACAAAACCUCCAAGGUUGGUUGCUGUGGUCUCGUUGUGAACAAUGGGGCCAGGCAUCGUGGCUGGGUUUGGGGGAAAGAGGCUGUGCUGUGUCGUGGCUAGCGUGCCCUUUUUAUAGGAAAAGGGGACGGAGUCUUCCUCCGCAUGCUUGCGAUAGAGACGGGUUGGAUGUCGGUCACUGGCACGUGAUCGACGGGCUAGGUUGAUAGGUUGGGCACCGUCCGCUGAAAAGGACGUCGGGUCACUGUGGAGCUACCUUACGCGGGAAGCUUGAAUGGGGUCAGGCUAAGGUCUGAUGGUUUGGGAUAACCUGGGUUUAUUGACCUGGCUAAGAUAGGAUUAGCCAAUGGUCAGCCUGGCUCUGAUACCAAGUCUGUCACGACCGGAUUUUGGGAUAUAAAUUCCCAGAAAAACGGCCUUUGUGCUCACCAGCCCCAGGAUUACUGUUAGCUGAUGAGGCACCAACUUGAUACAAGAACUCCAAGCAAGGAACAAAAAUAUGUAGUACAAGACCAUUUAGGCCUGGGAGUACAACACUUGGUUUCUAAGGGUUGAGGGCGGAAGCGGUUGGAAACAUCUGCGUCUAUGGGACUCCAUUUCCCACAAGAACAGCUGACCAGGAUAACUCCUAUCUUCGCGAGGCUGCACACGUCAAUAGCGUAGGUUCCGAGGGUGUCACCGCGAUGCAUACCUCCACGCAAGGCAAUCUGGCCAAGACAAUAGCCAGGGACAAGCCAGUGAGUACGUUUGAAUGUACUCGCAAACAUUAAGAACACGGGUAUAAUAUAUCAAACAUGCUCCGGGUUUAAUAGACGAUCAUACAUCCGUCACGAAAAUAUACGAGAAACCAUGAUGCACGCAUAUGGAUAAAAAUAUACCAAAAUAAAUUACUGGGUGCCAAACGAGUGUCUGAAUGACUCCUCGAGCGGAAAAAUGCAGAAUAGUAAUACUGGUGCCAAACGAGUGUCUGAAUGAGUCCUCGAGCGGUAAAUGCAGGAAUAAUAAUACUGGUGCCAAACGAGUGUCUGAAUGACUCCUCGAGCGGAAAAUGCAGAAAUAAUAAUACGGGUGCCAAACGAGUGUCUGAAUGACUCCUCGAGCGGAAAAUGCAGAAACAAUAAUGCCGCAGUCGGGCGUCUGAGCGACACCACAUAAAGGGCUUAUAAAAGAUAAAUGAACAACAAGCAUGCCGCAGUCGGGGGUCUGAGCGACACCACAGAAAGGGCUUAUACGAGAAUAAUCACAGUGAAUAUCCAGGAGGUAGAACCAUCCCAGGGAUACUCAAUAAAAAUGCAUGAUAUACAUGGUUAGUCCAAAACAAUAAAAAUCAUAAUCCAAAGGUGCCAUAAUCAUAAACAAAAUUUAGUACAGUCGUUUCUCCAUCCAAAAACCGAUAAUUUACUCAAGCCGUAUCUCCAUCCGAAUACCGUUACUACGAUCCAGUUAACCGUGUCUCCAUCCGAAUACCGUUACAGAGCUCUAGCUAAAUCGUUCUCCAUCCGAAUACCGUUACAGAGUUCUAGUUAAAUCGUUCUCCAUCCGAAUACCGUUAUCAAGAUUUAACCCAGACUGUGGUCCUAUACUCAAGAACAUGACAAUCCGACAGGAUGUAUCCUCUGCAGAGGGAGUACCAUUUUCCACGAGUAACGGGAUUACUCAGUCCCUCGGGACUAAUUCCGUCUACGGUCUUUUGAUUGAAAACACGCCUGACCUGCACACACCAGCUUAACUCACCAGUGCCUGGAAUCACCCACGACACCUGCCAAGCAAAACUCUAAGUGGGGAGGCUACAACCUCGACGUAGCAUGGGAUCACAAAAUUUAUACCGCGUGCAAACUGGGGAAGCUAUCCCCUUCGGCUACAACCGAAAACACCCAUGCCCCCGGACCGAAUGACAGGCUUUAAUCCGUGGCCACGGGACCUUCAUCACGGCCUCUCUGUACGGUGUGUGCUUUGGAAAGGGGUUGACAACCUACUGAACCAUACCCUGUCCCCUGCAGGGACAAGUGGUGGUACCGACAAAAGGAAGCUAUUGAACAAGACUCGGUCUACAACCGACUCAGGUGAUCCAAGUAUCCACCAACAAUAUUACCACUAGUGAAAUAAAUCACCACUCCUCGAGCCUCACCAUGCUAUGCCGGGCAUACUCGUCACAACGAGGGAUUAGGGACAAGCUCGUGUCUACCCAAGACCACGACUUUCCCGCUUCCUACCGGUGUGCUAGAGAAGCUCACGAGGGCGAUCCAAAUCCUUAGGGUAUCCAUUGCUGGCCACAAACAACUCCAAAGUGCACUCAUGCACGAGACUACAUCGAUACAUAAACUGUCACUUAUACUCCAAGACAAAAGGUGCUAUGAUCGUAUUCAAACACCACAACAAAUAUUAUGCCAGAGUUCAGAAAUGCUUGCCUUCAAGAGUAUGCAAAGGAUGCACUUAUUGGAAGCUUUCCUUUUCCUCCAAAAAUCCUAUUUUGCAAAAUACACAAAUACAAAUAUUUCAAACACAGUACCAAAACCUGUCUCAAAUAUUUUUGAAAUAAAUCUUAAAAUAAACUAGAUGAAAUUUGAGAGAGGUAGGAAAAAGAAUCAACUCAUUUGGAGUUUUAUUUUAAAAGUUAUAGCCAGUCAAAGUUUGGUCAAAUCUGUUUUUAAAUAAAACCAGAAAAAGGAAAACGUUUCAGCAGAAAUACGCUUACGCAGCAGAGAGACGUACGCGGGGGUUUGCACCUCCACUUAAACAGAGAGAGGGCGCUGCGCUGGUCGCUGACAGUGGGUCCAGAGGGCCCACUGGUCAGGUUUGACCGUUCCUUCCCUCCUUCUCUUCUCUUCUGCCCGACGGGAGCGGGGCUCCGGCGAUCGCCGGCGACGGACGGCGGCUCCUCGAGGGCAUCUGCGGGCGGGGAUGGAACGGCUAGACCAAGGCGGUCCUUUGGGUGGUUGAAGGGUCGUCGGAGGUGGAAGGAAUCGCCGGCGGCGAGCUCCGCGGCGAGGGAAAGCUACGGUGGUGAAGUGACUUAGGUGCUCCAGUGGUCUCCGACCGCAGUUGGGUAGCUGGGCAGCUCCGCAAGACUUCGGGGAAGUUUCUGGUGGCGCUGGAUUGGCAAAAGGGUGGCCGGCGGCGAUGAAUCGCGCUGGGGCUUAGCGGCGGCCGAGCUGGCCGGAGUUGAGGGAGACGGCCACCACAGGUCGAUUCACUACGCGGGAAGCUCUACGAGGGAAGUCUGAAGUCGUGUGAGUGCUCGGAGGGGCUCGGGGACCCUUUAUAUAGCGCUCGAGGCAGGUUCCCGCGGUGGCAGAGGAUAGGAUCGCCGGCGACGGCCGUUGCUGUAGGUGCAGGGCAUCUUGGCGGCGACGAACGCGUUCCAACAGGCAGGAGGAUAAGCACGACCUGUGCUCCGGGGCAGCUGGCGUGCUGGCGUGGUUUGGGCGGUGCCGAACAUGGCAGAGGCCGCUGCCGACGCCGGCGUGCCGCCAAGGGCGCGGCCAGCGGUGCAGCCGGGCACCAGAGGGAUCGUGGAGCAGGGGGCGGCUAGUGCGCAGCUCAGCGAUGCAGAGGGAGCCAGGGUCGGGUCGCGUCGCGUGCGGCAGUGCGGCGUGUUGGUGUAGUGCGCGCGCGUGCAAAAGGUGCGCUCUGGGCGCGCCCAGAGCACGCACGGCACCUGUUCGACACAAUGCCAGCACGCUCUAGAGCUCGAGGGUGGAGCUGGCACUGCACAGGAUGGAGGUAGGGGUAGCAAAGCACUCAGUGGACAAGGUGGAUAGGUCAGGGGUUCCAGUCCACAAUGCAAACCGGAGAGCUUGCCAAAAGUGGCUGUGCACACUAGGUGUUCGACAGAAUGCCAAGUGCACCUAGGCAACUCUUGGAGUGGCCAAAAUCUCCAGACCAGUGUCUCUUUAGAUGUAGGAGAUGAUGGUGGGAUUAGUUUGGCAAAAACAGAAAGUUGAUAGUGCAAGUUUUGCAAAACUCCAGUUUUGGGCAGAAAGAAAAGGGGUUUAGAACAUGCACUUCAAAACCUCCAAUGAGCCCAAUCUCCUGGACUUAAGAGUUUGGUAGGGAGGGCUACAAGUAGGAAAAAGCUCAGGGUCACUAGAGCAAGGAAAAAUAUGGUUGCAGUACAAAUCACCAAUUUGGACCAGAAAGCAAAAGAGGUUGAUCCACUCAAAUUUUCCAAAGAACAUCAUUGGGUUUUUGCUUGAAGAUGAAUUGUAUGCAUCCAUUGUCAUCUCCAAACACUUGGAAGAAUUUUUGAAGAAAUAUUUAAAUGGGUUGCAGUGCAAAAGUGCCUACUGGACCAGAUUGGAAAAGUUGGUGUAGAGCUCAAAAUCUCCAAUGGCCAGAAGGUAUCUUUGCAUAAAAGUGAUGUGGAAACAUCACAUGACAUCCCCAAAUUUUUGUGGAAUUUUUAAAAGCAUUUAUCAAAUAGUUGCAGUGCAAAAAGGGGCUCCAAAUGCAAAAGGAAAUCAUUUUAAAGAAAGAAAGCUUUUUGAAUAAAUAAAUCUUGCAACAUUUAAAUCCACUGAUAAAUAAAGUUUUUAUUAUGGAGAGAAAUCAAGUCCAACAAUACCCUUGAAGGUUUCUCCCACUAGAGGCAAAAAUCCAAAAUCACAAAAGGUAAAACUUGACAAAUUGGAAAAGUUUUAUUUCCUGGCAAAAUUUUAAUAAACAAAAUAAGGCCAAAAAUUUUGGGGUGUCACAAGAUAUUAAUGUUUUGAGUGGAAAAAUGGAUGAACUUAUGAAAUUGUUUGCUAAUAAGAGUGUUUAUUCUGAUCCUAAUGAUAUGUAUUUGUCUACUUUGAUUGAGAAUAACAAUUAAUCUAUGGAUGUGAAUUUUGUUGGUAGGAACAAUUUUGGUAACAAUGCGUAUAGAGAAACUUUAAUUCUAGGCUGUUCCCUCGUAAUUCCUCUAACAAUUAUGGUAAUUCCUACAACAACUCUUAUGGAAAUUUUAAUAAGAUGCCCUCUGAUUUUUAGACUAGUGUUAAAGAAUUUAUGAUUUCGCAAAAGAAUUUCAAUGCCUUUCUUGAAGAAAAAUUGUCUAAGAUUUCUCUUGAUGUUGAUUCUUUGAAACUUAGAUCUAUUCCACCUAAGCAUGAUAUCAAUGAGUCUCUCAAAUCUAUGAGAAUUUCCAUUGAUGAGUGCAAAUAAAGAACCGCUAGGAUGCGUGCUAAAAUAAAUUGCUUUGUAAAAGCGUGUUCUUCUAGUUUUCAUGAUAAUAAGGAUGAAGAUCUAAAAGUGAUUGAUGUGUCUCCUAUUAAAUCUUUGUUUUCCAAUAUGAAUCUUGAUAAAGAUGGGACUAUUGAUGAGUCAACUAUAGUUAAAAGGCAUCCCAAUGAUUCGGAGUUUUUAGAUCUUGAUGCGAAAAUUGGUAAAAGUGGGAUUGAAGAGGUCAAAACUUUACAUAGCAAUGAACCGACUAUUUUGGAUUUCAAUGAAUUUAAUUAUGAUAAUUGCUCUUUGAUAGAUUGUAGCUCCGUGUUGCAAUCCGUGUUAAAUUCUCCUCAUGCUUAUGAUCAAAAUAAAGCUUUUACUAAACAUAUCGUUGAUGCUUUAAUGCAAUCCUAUGAAGAAAAGCUUGAAUUAGAAGUUUCUAUCAUGAAUGCUAUGCUUUGUGUGAUUUGGGUGCUAGUAUUUUCACGAUUCCAGAAACUUUAUGAUGAGUGGGAACCUACUAUUAAAACUAAAAUUAAAGAUCAUGAAUGCUAUGCUUUGUGUGAUUUGGGUGCUAGUAUUUCCAUGAUUCCAGAAACUUUGUGUUGGGUGCCUAGCUAGUGGCAUUAAACGAUAGCGCCUGUUGGGAGGCAACCCAAUUUUAUUUUUCUUUCUUGAUUUUUGUUUCUGUUUAGUAAUAAAUAAUUCAUCUAGCUUCUGUUUAGAUGUGGUUUUAUGUUUUAAAUUAGCGUUUGUGCCAAGUAGAACCUUUGGGAAGACUUGGGUGAAGUCUUUAUGAUCUUGCUGUGAAAAAUAGAAACAUUAGCACUCACGAGAUUAGCAGCCAUUUUUUUACUGAAAAGUGCUUUUAGGUUGAUUAUUUUUGAAGAUGAUUAAUAGACAAAUUCCUCACGUACAACAAUUUAUUUCAGAUUUUUUGGAGUUACAGAAGUAUAUGUUUGAUACCGAUUACUACAGACUGUUCUGUUUUUGUCAGAUUCUGUUUUUCGUCUGUUGUUUGCUUAUUUUAAUGAAUCUAUGGCUACUAUCGUGGGGUAUGAACCAUAGAGAAGUUGGAAUACAGUAGUUUUAACACCAAUAUAAAUAAAUAAUGGGUUCAUUACAGUACCUUAAGGUGGUGAUUUGUUUUCUUAUACUAACGGAGCUCAUGAGAUUUUCUGUUGAGUUUUGUGUUGUGAAGUUUUCAAGUUUUUGGGUAAAGAUUUCAUGGAUUUUGGAAUAAGGAGUGGCAAGAGCCUAAGCUUGGGGAUUCCCAAGGCACCCAGGGUAAAAUUCAAGGACAAAAAAAGCCUAAGUUUGGGGAUGCCCCGGAAGGCAUCCCCUCUUUCGUCUUCGUCCAUCGGUAACUUUAUUUGAGGCUAUAUUUUUAUUCACCACAUGAUAUGUGUUUUGCUUGGAGCGUCUGUUGGUGGGAACGACACCUAUGGAAUCAUUGGGAUCCCUUCUACGGUUGGCGGGUGCGAGGUUGUGCAAAGAGCAGGUCUGCCAGGAAGUACACAGAUCGUUUACCCAGGUUCGGGCCGCGAAGAUGCGUAAUAUCCUAGUCCUGCUUUGGUGGAUGUAUUUGAGUGUUCUUGUGUUCUUGAGCUAGCUACGGGGUGCAACUUGCCCAAAAGAGCCAAAUCCCUCUCCUGGUCGCCUCGGGCCUCCUUUUAUAGGCAAAAGGGGUUGCCACAGUGGCACACCGGAGGUGGAAAGGUCUACAGUCGAUAAUCCUAUCCUCUGGGACCGUCGGACAAACGCAUUUAAUGCGCUGCCGACAUGCCCCCCUUGCUUUACCGGGGACGGCAAGGAAGCACGUCCCAGCUGUCGCCGCCUCGCCUGGCCUCGACACGCGUUCGAGUAGAUGAGGCGUCAUGGCGCCACGUUGGCCGGUUGCUGGGCUGGCGCGGUGGUGGAGCCUUCACGAAGACCUGCAUGCCACCACGCAGGUGCUUGCUGAGUUGGUUGUGGAGGCCGCUCGUCGCCACGCAGGUGCCUGCUCAGCUGGUCGAGCUGGCUGCUGCAUGGAUGGCGGUGGAGUUAUGGCAGACACGGGCCCUGCUGCCAUCCUGUAAGUGUCUCCGGCAAGGGCCUUGCCAGGGCCCCUGCAAGGGUCUUGCCACGGUUCCAUGGUCUUCCCCCGCAAGUAUCUUGUCGGGGGUCUCGUGGAUUUCCUCGGCUAGGAUCACGCCGAGGAUCGCCAUCUUCUGGUCCUCAUCUGAUCUCAUAUGCUUAUGAUCUUGACGAAGAUCUGCAUGCCACCACAGAGGUGCCUCCCGAGCCUUAGUUCUAAUGUGGUUAGUUUGUGGUGUUGGAACCCGUGGGCUCAAGGGUGGCUUGCUCUGCUAGCAUCGGGCAAGUUGCCCCGGCAAGGCGCUUGCCGGGGCUGUGGAGGCUGCCUCGGCAAGGGUCUUGCCGAGGGAGUCCACCUUGCCCUCUUGCUCUUCUGCGUUCUCUGGUCUUGGCGUUGCCUCUGGUCGCCUUGUGCCUUUGGCUCACCUCCUCUGCCUCGCUUGGUGUGGCCGCGGGCGCGGCUCUGACUACCCGUGCACAAGUAAAGGGGUAAAAAAGGAGUGCCCCUACUUUUGUACACCGACAGGAGCCCCCGGGCUUGGGCCACACAUAGGCGCGACACGUUGUUGGGCCAAGCCCAGAACAGUGUGCGGGCAGGCGGGGCGGGAUCUUUACUGCGGAAACUUCUUGUCCGCUGUGCUUCUUCACGACCCGCGUUGAACGCGCGACGUGGAGGGUCGUGCGUGACACGGGGGGCAUGCGUGGGGCGGUUUCCGCACGCAUGCGUCACAUCGCAGUUAAUGGGAAAAGAGGCGGCCCGUGCCUUCCCCGUAAAAAGGAAUAACCGCGGGCGCGCUACUCAUUUAGCCUAUGUGCUUUCCCCAAUCUCAGAACUGUCGUCCCCUUCUUCCUCCCUCUCCCGGCACCGGGAUGCUCUCUUGGUGCCUUCUGCUCCUCGCACCUCGCCUAGGCGCUCUUUUCGCCCUCCCGCUAUCUUGUUCCACCUUCUAAGGAGAGGGACAAGAAAGGGAUCACAGGCAUCUUAUCUCUUCUUAGUUUGUAAGCCUGCGGGCAAUUGUUAGAUUUAAAACUUGUAAUCCCCUUGCUCAUGUUUUUCAUUCCGCAUGAACUGUACCUGGAUGGGAAUUUUUUAAUGAAAAAGGGUGCUUGACGGGUUCUUUGUUCGUGGGCGAGGCCCACGCCAAGGAGUGAAUCCUUGUUAUUUUUCACGAUAAACAUUGUCACCCGGCAACAGGCCUUGUCGUCCCCUUACUUCAUCCUACCAUUCUCACGCUCUUGGCGGAGGCAAGGGCGAAGUAGAGUGAGGCCCCUCGUUUGCUUCCUUGCCAAUGCGACUACGACCCGGUUCCGACCUAGGGACUUGGGUACAGGAAAGAGGGGGAGCACGGUGGCCUAGGAGGAAAACGAGGCUUCAUACACCCCAACUUCAUACGGAAACGCACGGCAGAGGAUGAAAGACUUAUCUGAAUCUGCAGCCCCCGGCAGCCUUGGCUUGCCGUGGUUGGAUUCUUGUAUCUGCAGCCCCCGGCAACCUUGGCUUGCCGAGGCCAGAGCACCGCCUCGUUCUCUUUCUUCCAAACAGCCCAGCAGGAGCGUCUGUGUACCAUGUGAACCAAAGAGGAUGGAAAGGAACAGAGCAACGCAGACUCGACCUCUAUGCUAGGGGUUAGUCGCCGCUAAGCACUAUCAACCCUAACCGAGGGAGAGACUCAACCUAGCAUGCAUGCUAUAACUUAGGGCGCCGUGCGCUUCAUUUAUUUAUGCUCAGGGUCUGCGCCUGGCUUUGUAUAGAGGGUUACAUGCCUUGUCGGCAAGGCUUGUACAGAAGGUGGUUUGCCGGGGGGCUGGCAACCGCGCCGUAUGGGUAAAACUUGCGAAGAUGUUCAAUGUUCCAGGAGUUGCUCACUGGAAUAGCAUCUUUGGUCUCCAGGCGGACUGCGCCAGGCCUGGUGACUCGUAUUACCCGAUAAGGGCCUUCCCACUUUGGGAGUGUUGCGUCAUCUUGCCGCAAUUGCUCUUGCUCAAGCUCGUCAUAAGCGAGCACUCGAGGUGACCCAUAUGUGAGUUCCUUGGGGAGAACUGCUUCUGCCCCGUAUACCAGGGCAAAGGGUGUCUGGCCGGUGGCUCGAUUUGGCGUCGUUCUGAUCGACCAAACAACCACCGGCAACUCAUCAAUCCAGCGCCUUCCACUCUUGUGCAGCUUGUCAAAAGUCUUUGUUCUCAGACCUCGCAGAACUUCGGCAUUUGCCCUCUCCGCCUGGCCGUUGCUCCGCGGGUGUGCCACGGAAGCGAAACAGACCUUGGCGCCGAGGUCUUGGAUGUAUUGCAUGAAGAUGUGGCUUGUGAACUGCAUGUCGUUGUCGGUGAUGACCCUGUUUCACACACUAAAACGGCAGACUAGGACUUUGAAGAACUUGACAGCUGACUGUGCAGGAACCUUCCUCACUGCCUCCACCUCUGGGCACUUUGUGAACUUGUCGAUCGCAACGUACAAGUACUCAAAGCCCCCGACAGCGCGAGGGAAAGGGCCCAGUAUGUCGAGCCCCCAGACCGAAAACGGCUAGGAGAGAGGGAUUGUUUGAAGGGCUUGAGCUGGUUGAUGAAGCUUCUUCGAAUGGAACUGGCACGCUUCACACCUGGUUACUAGUGUCGUCGCAUCCUGGAGGGUAGUGGGCCAGAAGAAGCCUUGCCGGAGUGCCUUGCCGGCAAGGGCCCUCGACCCUAUGUGGGAGCCACAUAUGCCUCCGUGUAUCUCUGCCAACGGCUCCAGUCCUUCCUCCCGGGGGAUGCACUUCAAUUUCACACCGUUCGGUUUUUUCUGUACAGGACGUCGUCGACGAACUGGUACAAGGCAGACCGACGGGCUACUCUUUCCGAUUCUUCCUGCUCCUCAGGAAGUUCCCCUGUCUGGAGGAAACAGACGGUAUGUUGUGCCCAUGCCGGAGCCUGGGGCUCGACGACAAGGACCAAAGGCAUUUCUUGUGCCAUGGGUGUCGGGUGGUAGGUGUGACAUAUGCCAACGGGUGGCUUAUCAGUGUGGGAGCCAGUAAGACAUUGCCGGUGCCUGGAAACGGGAUAAGGCGAAGACAUGCACGCCGACGGAUCUUACCCAGGUCCGGGGCUCUCCGUGGAGAUAACACCCCUAGUCCUGCUCUGCGGGGUCUCCGCAUGAUCAAUAGAUCAAUACAAGUAGCUACAAGUGCUCCUUGAGCUGUUUGGCUAGGGGAAGAAGAAGGGCAAGGCUAGCUCUCCUUUUCUCUCUAUGUGGUGUGUGAAACUCUAACAGAUCAACCCUUUGCAUGGGUGUCCCGGGGGGUUUAUAUAGGCCUACCCCCCAGGGUUACAAUGGUAAUCCGGCUGGGCGCGGGUCCCAGCCCUCAGUGUUUGUGCUCGCCGGCUUCUCCGCCGACUGGUGGGUCCCGCUGGCUGCCGGCCCCACCGGUUGGGGGCCUUGUCGGCGGCUGGUUACUAUCACCUCGCCUCUGAUGAUGAUGGCUUUGUCGAGGUAAGCGUGGCUACAGUGCCACCAUCUUGCGGGCUCUCACUGUAGCCUCUCCUCGUCUUGUCUCCUUAAUUAGGCACAUGUUUCGAGGGAGGGAGGUAGCUGGCUAUUGGGAGCCGGCUACGCCCCCGGCCGACUAGGGGAGGCCGGGCCGCCUUCGAGCGUCUCUCUGGCUAAAGGGGCUCGCCGAUCACGGGCAGUACUGGCGCCUGUCGUGGGUGACAUGGAGGUCAACAUGGCUACAGUGCCACGUCGGACGGGAGAUGGCUGACCCGUACGACGCCCUAUGGCCAUGCCUGUUCCGGGAUUCGGGGGUAGUGGGCUGUACUACGGCCACGCCCCAUCUUAUCACCGUUAUGUGGAUGCAGUCUUGGUGGGUGCAGUCUUGGCCGGCUUCUGGGAGUCGGCUUUCUUCACGGCCGGCUUCUGGGAGUCGGUCCUCUUGGGGUCGGCUUCCUGGAGUCGGCCAUCUCGUAGCUUUCUUUGGGAAGGUUUCUGAGGCCGGGUCGCCUUCUGGUAGUCGGCCCUGGGGAUAGCCGGCCAGGGGAAGGCGGCCCUAUGCUCAAGAUGCUUGAAGGCUUGAAUGGCCUUAUAAUUUUUCGAAGAGCCAGGGGGAGUCGGUUAGGCUACCCGUGGCCAUUUACUCCGACAGUAGUCCCCGAAGCUGGUUGGGCUUCGAGGCUGAGAGGAGGUCGAGAAGCUCGGUCAGCUUCUUAUCUUGACGAGCCAGCAGCUGGGAGCUGGCUUCGGUUGGGCGCGCCGUCUUGGCGAAAUUUCUAAAGUCGGAAGGCGGGAGUUUGUUGGCGCGUGCGCCGGGCUGCGGGCCGCCCGCGAACCACGUGGCAUCCUCCGGCUGAAAAAAGCCUGGCAACCCACGCGCACGACAGGACGUCGCCGCAGGCCGGGGGCCCACCACUCCUACGCCUAGGCCCAGGCGCUGAUUCUCUGUGGCCCAAAGCUGUCCGCACGUCUUCCGGCGGCGGUUUCCGCACGCCGUUAGGGCGCAAUAAUCGCGGGACGUGGGGGAGGGGGCGCAGUUAAUCCCACGUUCCUCCCCACGCCUCGCCUCCUCGGCUUCGACGCACGAGGCUAUAAGUAGGGGGAGGAGGGGAAGCGGCAGACGCUCGCAUGCUCCUCUCCUCUCCGCCAUCUUCUUCCUUCUCCUUUUCAUCGCAGCAGCGUCUCGGUGCCGCACCGUCCCACCAAACUUCGCACCACCCCGCAGCUUCGCCGCCGCGGGGCCGUGCUCUCUCCGCCGCCGCACCCUUUCUCACCAGCUUCUCGCCAUCAUGCAGUACGGCGGGGACUGGGACGGCUCCAACGUCCAUAUGGACCACAUCGACUUCCUCCGCAAGAUGCGGCGGUUUCCCGGCAAGGACCAGGUGCGGGUCCGUCUCGCGCCGGAGAAGGAGAUCACGCCGGCGCCGGAGGAAGGCGAGCGGGUAAUCUUCCACUCGCACUUCAUGCGCGGCCUCGGCCUGCCGGCGAGCGCCUUCUUCCGCUCCUUUCUUGAGUUCUAUCAACUCCAGCCGCACCACCUCACCCCGAACACGGUGGUGCUGCUGUCUGCCUUCGUCACUCUGUGCGAGGGCUUUCUUGGCGUUCUCCCCACCCUCGAGCUCUGGGGGGAAUUCUUUCAAACCAAGCUCGGCACCCGCAUGCAGGGCAUGCCGGCUCAGAGCGGCGCCUUCAUCGCGAUGUGGAGCCCGGCAGCCGACAACCCCUUCCCCGUCAUCAUGCUGAUCCAGUCGGUGAAGCGCUGGGAAAAGUCGUACUUCUACGUGAAGAACGUCACCCCGCAAGGCGACUACGUCAACCUGCCGGCUUACGUAGCCGGCCCGCCGGCUGGGAGGCGGCCCCAGUGAUCCUAUCGGGCCAUGACGCUGUCGCCAGCUGGAGCCGCGGCCGUCGCCCGACUCCAGGUGAUGAUCCAGUCGGAGGGCCUGACUGGGUCCGACUUGCUGGCGGCCUUCGUUGCGCGCCGGGUGCUUCCGCUUCAAAGCCGCCCUCAGCUGAUCUGUCAGAUGAGCGGCCAACUCAAUCCGAGUCGGAUGUGCACCAAGGAUAUGCCUCACGACGAGGUGGCCCAUAUGGUGAAUUACCUUGCGAACUGCAAGCUCUCCGCAGAGUGGCGGUUUGGCAAGGAGCCGUACUCCCGUGCUCAUCCCCCGCCAACGGUAUGCUCUCUUUAUCCUUUCUUCUCUUAGUUUUGUCGUCGAGUUUUUGUUGGCCGACUCUGACCAGUCGGCACGUCUUGGUAGAGCCCUCUCCUUCGACCUGCAGCCGGGUCAGGGGCGGAUCGCCGAUUUCUCCCCGACCGGGCGGAGCAUGACUUGGAGGACCACGACUUGGGGGCGGCCGCCAUGGACGACAACACCGAGGCGGGAGGCGGCGAAGCCGGCGGCGAAGCAGGCGGCUCCGGGCUUGGAGCCAGCUUCGACGACUGGCCGGAUGACGACGAGGCGGAAAUCGUCCCACGCCGCCAGCCGGCGUCCAGCCAUGGCGCGGGUUCCUCCGCCGCGCCGCCUGCUCGGGCGGCGGGCAGAAGCGCCGGGCUGCGUCGGACUUGUUUGGCAGUCGGCCGAAGAAGCCCAAGGGCGGGGCGGCGGCGACCAGGCGGGAUGAGGCGGCCGCGAAGGCGGCCCGCUUCCGCAAGGUGGUGAAGCAGCCGCAGACGGUGUUAGCGUAAGUGUAUAUUCUUUUGCAUACUCUUUCAUCUUUUCUUGUUGAUUUUUGAAUCCUUGUCUUUUCUCAAAAAUCAGGGCUCCGCUUUCUCUUGAGUGGGUUGCUGCCGCCUCCGUGGUUGGAUCCCCGGGAGGUUCCGGGAGCACCCACCGUAUGGACCCCCGCGCCGAGCUUCAGGCGGCGACGGAGCGAAAUGCGAGGGAGGAGCAAGAGGAGCGGGAGGCGGAGGAGCUAAGGGCGGCUGCCGCCAAGGCGGCACAGGAGAAGGAGGAGUCGGCGAAGGCGCAUGUCGACACGGAGGCCAAGGCCCAGGUGGAGGCUGCGGCCGCGGCAAUAGCGGAGGGGGCCUUGCUUGUCACCCCUCUGCGUAUCGCGGCGCCCGAGGUCCCGGAGCCCUCGCCGGAGGAAGCCGGCGGCGACCUACCGGGGUUGGAGAGGGAGGACGACCUCGUCGUCCCGGAGAGGGAGGCGGCACCGUCCUUGCCGACUGGGGCGGCCCAAGGCAGCCGGCCUAAUGUGCCACCUGCGCAAUCGGCUGGGGGCGAGCCGGCUGCGAGGACGGACCUGGUGGUCCAGUCGGCGUCGCGCCAGCGCGCGGGGAAGGCCACUUCGGCUCCAGACCCGCAGAAGGCCGCGGGCUCUAGCUCGUCGGCCCAGGACAUGGAGGCGGCCAGCGCCAGCUCGGGGUGGACGCCGGGUGGAGGGACGGCCGUGGUGAAUUUAGCGGCGCAAGAAGUCCGGAACCAGCUUCAGUCCCAGGCCGCAGUGCUGAGGCAAUACAAUGACGAGUUCCUCGCAACACGGGCGGCUAUUCAGGUAAGUCUUCCCGUUUUUGCUUUUCGAUCUUGGUUUCUUCCGUGGGGGCGCGUCAGCGCACCCACUGGGUGUAGUCCCCGAGUUCUGAGUCGGCUGCUGAGCAGACGGCUUGGAACUUCUUAGCGGGCUUUGUUUGCUAUCUUGUUCUCAUUCGCUUUUCCGUCUGUCUUGCAGGACUACCACAACCUCCGCACGGCUGCCUUCAAUUCCCAGGCUCGGGAGCUGACCCAGAAGAAUGCUGAUCUAUCUAAGAGCCGGGGUAAGUGCUUCAUCUUUUAUCUCAUGUGGGGGCACGUCAGCGCACCCACUAGGUGUAGUCCCCGAGAUUCAGGCUGACUGCUGAGCAGUCGGGUCGGAUCUUUCUUGAUGACUUCUUUCUUAUUGCUUCUUUCUUCUCUGCCAUGUCUGCAGCGGCCAACGCCAAACUGAGGGAGCAGCUGGGUGGGACUCAGGCCGCCCUUCGCGCUAAGGAAGCCGAGUUUGACGCCUUGGCCCAGGAGCGUGACCGCCUGGCCAAGAAGCUAGCCGACCAGGAGGAGAGCCACAAGGCGGCCCUGAAGGCGGUGCAGGACAGCGAGGCCGCCCUCCAAGCCGAAUAUGAGACGGAGGCGGCGAGCUGGGCCGAGACGAGGCAGUCGUUGAUCAACGGCUACGGCCAGAUCGAAGACUUGGUUGACGGUAGGCCGCCCUCUUCUUUUUUUUGACUGGGAACUGUAGGGGAAACCCCCACAGCAUAUCAUCACUUUAUUGAGUAAAAGAGUUACAGUACAAGUACAAAGGAGGAUUACAAGAGGUAAUCAAAGUAACUAGGGGAAGAAGGAGAAAAAACAAGUUAAAAGGUACAGGUUAAAAAGAUACAAACUAUUGGCCUCAAGGUGGCAGAAAUGAAAUCCAGCGAAGAAGAUCAUCUUUGAAGGCAGCUUUCACUCUAUAUUGCAUUAAAGUGAUGUCACGGAUGAAAGCAGAUCUCCAUCUAUUAAAUCUAGCCCUCUCAUGCCUGAAGACCUUAGCAUUCCUGAUGAUCCAGAUAUUCCAGCAAGCAAUGAACACCACUUCAGUGAAGAAGGGCUUCCUAAAACUCCUGCUAGCAUUCAGAGCCAGAUGAGCCAUGGAGUCACCAGAAGCCCAAUCAAUUUGCAGAUAGUUCCAAACUCUGACACUAAAGUUGCAAUUGAAAAACAGAUGAUCCCUGGUUUCCCUAGUCUGCAAAGGACAAAGAACACAGUUUACUCCAUCCUCCAAAUGCCAGUGUCUCCUAUCCACCAUGUCCUUGGUGUUCAACCUGUCCAUAAUAGGCAUCCAAGCAAAAACUUUGAUUUUCAUUGUACAAGAGGACUUCCAGAUCCAAGCAGUCAAAGGGUUGAAAGAUGCUGAAGCAAAAGUGUGAGAGUAAAACAACUUUGGUGAGUAUCCCUUUGCAGUGCCCUUCCAAAACCAAAUAUCCUUGGACCCGGGUGUUCUAUUAAGGCCACCCAACAUGGACUGGAGAAUAUUCAGAUCAUCGAAAGCCUGGCUGGACAAAGGAAGGUGGAAGUGCUGGAAAAUGUCCUGAGAGUCCAAGAACUCAAGAAUAGUGAUCCAGGGGUCCUUAACAUAGGAAUAGAGCCUGGGAAAUCUAAGUUGGAGGGUAGACACCUGACCAUCCAAUUGCAAAUUAUCUGACCACAUAAGAGCAGUGUCCCCUGCAUUAAUCUGAACCCAAGCACACUCCCUAAAAUGAUGCAUGACCUUGCAAAUAUCCUUCCACCAGAAAGAUCCACAAUCAGAAGUUCCCUGGGGGACCCUAUUAUGAUAGUAAGAAUCCCAAAUCAAAGAAACCCAAGGGACCUCCUUUUUAUUAAGGAAGUUAUUCACAUGUUUGAUCAAAAGAGCAACGUUCUGAGAGCCAAGGUUGAGAAUACCAAGACCUCCCCUAUUUUUUGGCCUGCAUAUAAGGUCCCACGCAGCUAGGGAUGGGGCAGGCUGACCUCUAUUCCUCCUCCAGAGGCAUUGUCUCUGGAUUCUCUCCAAUUGCUUAAGGAUUCCAGCUGGGACAGCCAAACUGCACAGAAAGAAAAUUGGCAUAGAUGACAGAGUAGAGUUAAGAAGCUGUAGCCUUUCCCCCUGAUUCAAAAAGGAUGAGCUGGCUGUCAUUCUCCUCUCCAUGCAAUCAACUAAUGGCAUAAAAUCCACCAUUUUGGGCCUAGUAGUACCCACUGGCAACCGAAGAUUAGUAAAAGGCAUUUUCCCAAUCUGGCAGCCAAAAGCAGAAGCUAAUUCAGUCAAGGCAACAGUGUCCACAUUGAUGGGAAUAAUGAAGGAUUUAUGAUAGUUCACAUCCAGACCAGUGGACACAGAAAAGACCCUGAGCAUUUCCUUGAGAGCUAUGAGAUGGUCCUUGUCCACAGGAAAGAUGAUAAGAGUGUCAUCAGCAUAAUGAAUCACAGGGUAAUCCUGAUCAUGACAAGGAAUUGGUAACUGAAGAAUGCCCCUUCUGAAGAUGUCAUUAUUUACAGUCUGCAGGAGAUCAGCAGCUAGGACAAAAAGGAGGGGAGAGACUGGGUCACCCUGUCUGACACCCUUUUUGCACCUGAACUUCCUACCAGGGACUCCAUUUAGCAAAACUGAUGAGGUACCUGUGGAUAGAAGUUGCUUCAUCCAGAGGAUCCACUUGUCAUUAAAGCCCUUAUAUUUCAAAAUUUGCACAAUGGCCUCAUGCUCAAGGGAGUCAAAAGCCUUUUCAAAAUCCAACUUUAGAAUCACAAUAGGUCUCUUGGAUUGAUGGCAUUGGUGCAAAUAUUCAAAGGUCCAUCCAAUACAAUCUUGAAUUGUUCUAGUUUUAAUGAAACCAUAUUGGUUCUUGUGAACACACUGCAUAAUCACCUCCUGAAACCUAUUGGCAACCAUCUUAGACAAGACCUUAAGACCCAUUCCAGUUAAGGAGAUAGGUCUGAAGUCACCCACCUCCUCAGGGGAGGGCUUCUUAGGCACCCGAGUUAUGUAGGAGUCAUUGAUAUUUUCCAGAUUAGCAGUACCCUCAAAGAAAGCCUGGGCCAGUUCAUAAAAAUCAUGUGAAAUAAUGUGCCAGCACGUUUUGAAGAAAAGACCAUUAAAACCAUCUGGACCUGGAGCUUUAUCAACUGGCAUAUGCUUGACAAUCAUGUCCAUUUCCUCCUUCUCAAAAGGCUUAGUGAGAGUAUCCAAUCCCACAACUGGUUCAAUGAGGGAAGAAAGAUCAAAACCCAUAUUAAUUCCCCUGGAAGAACCCAUUCUGUUCUUAAAACAAUUCCAGAUAAUACCCUCCAUUUGUGAAUGAUCUGUCACCACUGUACCAUCAGACAAUUUUAGGCUAGCAAUAGAAUUCCUUCGAUACCUCUCUGUGGCCAUAGCAUGAAAGAACUUGGUGUUCUCACCACCCACUUUUAUGUAUCUGAUAGUACAUCUUUUCUUCCAAUAGAGACAUUGAAGGUGAAGUAAUUUCUCAACAUGGGUUUUGACCACAAUCCUGAAAUUAGAUUCAUGCCUGUAGAGAGGUCUAUAUUCCUCAAGCUCAUCCAAGAGCAAGAUAACACUAUUGCAUUUACAAAUUAGAGUUUUCAGCUUGGAGAUGUUCUUCUGCCAUCUCUUUAGACACAUCCUCAAGGACUUAAAUUUGUCAGCUAUCCUGGCAGUAAUAUGGCCCUUUCUGGAGCGUUUUUGCCAUGCGGAAUCAACACAGUCCAUAAAACCCUCCAACUCCAACCAAUAAUUCUCAAACCUAAAGAUGUUAGACUUGGGAAUAGAAGUUUUAAUUGUAACCAUACAUGGCACAUGGUCAGAAGCAGUUCUGGCAAGAGGUAUCACUUCAGUCAUGGGAUAAUCAGAUAUCCAAUCGACAGAAGUAAAGAACCAGUCAAGCUGCUCAAGGAGGGGAGAAUCCUGCAUAUUGGACCAAGUGUAAUACCUGCCUUUGAUGGGGAAUUCCAAAAGGCCGAGGUGUCCAAUAAUCUCAUUAAAGAUGAACAUGUCAUUCAAAUCACCCCCAGGUAGAUUUCUGUUAUCCAUAGAACGUAAGAAAUUAAAAUCCCCCAGUAACAGCCAAUUCUCAUCCACAGGAAUGUUCAGGUGAUAUAGCCAGGAUACAAAAUUGUCCCUAGCCUCCCCCUGACAAGGACCAUAAACCACCACAAGAGUCCACCGCUCAUUGUUUUGCCUGGAAACAAACUCGAUCACCACUGCAAAUUGUUGGACUUGCAAUAAAGUCCCACCAAAAAUAGACGAGUUCCAAACAACUAGAAUUCCACCAGAGGCCCCCAAGGAAGGAGAAAAAGCAAAGCAGUCAAAUCUCUUGGGGCAAAAACUUUUAAGCAUUCUGGAAUCGAAUGAAGCACAUUUCAUUUCUUGCAGACAAGCAAUAGCACAGUGACUUUCGUCAAUCUUUUGUCUAACAGCUCGUUGCCUAGCCUCAAAGUUUAAACCCCUGACGUUCCAGCACAGGACAUUCCAGUUUCUAUAGAUAUUAUUCAUAAAGGAAUAACAUAACCAAGUCUCCCAUGCAUAUGACACACAGUGUCAGAGUAGGCCGCCCUCGUCCCUUGCUUGUCGCUUGCCGUUUGGUUCAUUUUCUGACUUGGUAUUUUUCUCUUCUUUCUCUUUCUUUCUUGCGUAGAGUACUUCCCUGGCUACUCUACUGCCGCCAACCAGGUCGUCGAGGCCCACCACGAGGCGCAAAGGCAGGCUGGCGCCAAGACUGCGCCGAACGCUCGCCGGUCGCUGGAGGAAUAGCUCUUGGCGAUUCAAGCCCGCCUUCAGCCGGCUCACCGCAUGCUCCGCCGGCUUCAGUGUGUUGGGGCGCAGGUGCUGGCCGCUCUCUGGCCCGGCGAGGUGAUUCCCCGCACUCCCAGUCAGACUGCCGACUGGCUGGAGGUGGCGGCCGGCCGCUUCGAGGCCUGGAAGGCUUCUGCGGCUCGGUCAGGCGCCAGGCGGGCGCUGGAGUUCGUCAAGGCCUGUUAUCCCGAGCUGAGUUUGGACCAGCUGGCCACCUAGCGGCAGGAGGCCAACACGGAGCUGGAGCCGGUGCGGCCGGCUAACAUCCAGCGAGCCUCGGCGAUCGCCGACUACACCGACACCAGCGCCUUUGCUCCUGAGGUGGACGACAACGGUGUUGCCCAGCCGGAGGAAUGGUUCGGGCUGAACCCGGCAGAUGGCGAGGACUCAGUAGAGGAGAUCGACUCCAGCGACGAGGGCGAGGAGGAGGAGGAGGAGGGUGAAGGCGCCGCGCCAGAUGGUGGAGCAGCCGGUCAGCCUCAGCUUGACCGUGCCUCCAGCAACAAGGUGCGUGCGAGUGCACCGCCUGCAACGGGCGAUGAUCAAGCCGAGACUCGCCAGCCGGCCACUCCUCCAGCCAGCGCUGCCAUCUCCACGACCAGCCCGGCUCCCCUGCUGCGCCCUUAGUCUAGUCUGAUGCCUCUACUUUCCUGUUUUAUUACUCUUGGAACAGGAUUUUGUUAAGUUUGCACAGUUCCACCCAUUGGGGGUGUAUUCGAAAUAUAUUGACUGCCGGCCUGUUGAAGGCCUUAUGUGUAAAUAUAAUCAUGCAUGCAUUCGGCUUUCCCUUGUUCUUUGCUUUUCAUCCUUCGGCUGUUUCCUUUGCCGCCCUCCCUUGGUUGCCACCUUCCCAGCCGGACAGCUGCUCUGCAGUCUGUGGCUGGAGAAGUGCUUGGCCGGUUGGGAGGGCAAGUACUCUAGAUUUGUUGGAUUGUAGCAAAGUGACUGGGAAGCUAGCCAACCGGCUGUUUUGACAGCCGGUAGGCGUGGUUGGAGGCCGGCUUGUGUUAUAUAAGUUCAUUAGUCCUUAGCCAUUUUUUGUGUGGGCAUCCUUUCUACCUUUGGCUCUUGCCAGUCGGACAGUCGGUUCUUCGUGCUGCGACUUACAACAAGAGAGGGCUCGGGUGCUGGCACACUACUUGUCUGGCUUCAGGUAGAACUUUUUAAUAUAACUUAAGGCGACAAGUCCCCGGGCCGACUAGUCGAACCCGGUGCCAGAUAGAAAAUCAAAUGUAAUAAUACAUUCAUGGGUAUGACACUCGUCAUUCAUAGAUAAAGGAGGGCAGUCCCCGAUUGCGCCUCGGGGGGGCCGUUGUCUCGUACUUAAUACAAAAAGGUAGCAUGAUACAUACUGCUUUUAACUGUAAAAUCUUCUCACGAGGUUGGCGUUCCAUGGUUGUUCCGACUCCUUGCCGGAAUGAUCCCUCUUGCGUGCUCUUGGCUUCUGUGCGUCGAUCAGGUAGUAGGAGUCGUUGCCUAGGGCCUUGCUGACGACGAAAGGGCCUUCCCAAGGGGCCGAGAGCUUGUGCUGGCCGGCUGUUCGCUGGAUCAGCCGGAGCACAAGAUCGCCCUCUUGGAAGGAUCUUGGCUUGACCUUCUGGUUGUGGUAACGGCGCAAACCUUGCUGGUAGAUGGCGGACUGGCUGAGUGCUAACAGCCAGCCUUCUUCCAGCAGGUCGACACCGUCUUCUCGCGCUUCCUUGGCCUCCGCCUCCGUGUACAUGGUGACCCGAGGCGAGUCGAACUCGAUGCCAGUUGGGAUGACAGCCUCGGCACCAUAUACAAGGAAGAACGGAGUGAAGCCGGUUGACUUGUUUGGGGUAGUAAGCAGACUCCAGAGGACAGCCGGUAGCUCAUCGAGCCAGCAGCCGGCCGAACGCUCCAGUGGUACGACUAGUCGGGGCUUGAUGCCGGAGAGGAUGAGGCCGUUUGCUCGCUCGACCUAGCCGUUUGACUGCGGGUGGGCAAUGGACGCUAAGUCUAGUCGGAUGCCCUGUGUCGCGCAGAAACGUGCCAGUGCUCCCUUGGCAAAAUUUGUGCCGUUGUCGGUGAUGAUGCUCUGUGGUACACCAUACCGAGUAGUGAUGUCUGCGAUGAAUGUCACGGCAGUCGGCCCGUUCAGCUUCUUGAUCGGCUUCGCUUCAAUCCACUUGGUAAAUUUGUCCACGGCGACAAGCAGAUGUGUCAUGCCGCCGCGGGCUGUCUUGAAUGGGCCCACCAUGUCCAGCCCCCAAACGGCAAAGGGCCAGGUGAGGGGGAUGGUCUUGAGUGCAGAAGCAGACAGGUGUUGCUUGGAACUGAAGACUUGGCAUCCUUUGCAGCAUUUGACUAAUUCCUUGGCAUCUUCCAAAGCAGUCGGUGUCAGGACCGGAUUUUCGGGGUAUCAAUUUCCCAAAAAUGGUCCUUGUGCUCACCAGCCCUAGGAUUACUGUUAGCUGGUGAGGCACCAACUUGAUACAGAAAUUCCUAGCAAAAUACAAAAUAUGUGGUACAAGACCAUUCUGGCCUAUGAGUACAACAAAUGGUUUCUAGUGGUUGAUGGCGGAAGCGGUUUGUGGUUCAUCAGUGGCCAUGGGACCCCAUUUCCCAUAGGAACAGCUGACCAGCAUAACUCCUAUCUUCGCGAGGCUGCUAUCAUCAUUGCGUAGGUUCCGGGGCUGUCGUCGCAACGCUCCUCUCCACGCAAGAAAUCUGGCCAAGACACUAGCCAGGGACAAGCCAGUGAGUACUUUGAAUGUACUCGCAAACAUUAUGAACACAGGUAUAAUAUAACAAAUGAUGAUCAUGCUCUGAAAUAUUCUAUGGUCACAACGUCAGCCACGAAAUAAAAAUCCAUGAUGCACGCAAGCAGGUUGUUCAUAUGAAUAUGCAAUAAGGGAGCAGAAAUAGAAUGCACCGAUCGGGUGUCUGAAGCGAUGCCUCGAAAGGAUAAUAAUAUAAAGCAUGCCUCAGUCGGGCGUCUGAGAGACACCACAUAAAGGGCUUAUAAAUAAUUUAAAAUAACAAGCGUGCCACAGUCGGGUGUCUGAGCGACACCGCAUAAAGAGCUUAUAAGUAAUUUAAAUAACAAGCAUGCCACAGUCGGGCGUCUGAGCGACACCACAUAAAGGGCAUAUAAGUAUUUAAAUAACAAGCAUGCCACAGUCGGGCGUCUGAGCGACACCACAUAAAGGGCUUAUAAGUAAUUUAAAUAACAAGCAUGCCACAGUCGGGCGUCUGAGCGACACCACAUAAAGGGCUUAUAAGAGAAUAAUCACAGUGAGUAUCCAGGAGGUAGAACCGUCCUAGUGAUACUCAAUAAUUCAAAUAAUGUAAAUGGUUAGUCCACAAUAAUAAUAAUCAUAAUCCUCAUGUGUCAUAGGUCAUAAUCAAUGUUCUGGUUUAGCAGUUUUUCCUCCGAAGACCGACACUUGACCCAUCCCAGACUGUAGUCCUUAACCAUGGACACGGCUAUUCGAAUAGAUAUAAUCUCUGUAGAGGGUGUACUCUUUACCCACGAGUAACGGAUUUCUUUAGUCCAUCGGGACUAAUUCCGUCUACGGCCUUUUAAUUGAAAACACACCUAACCGCACACACCAGCCUAACUUACCGGUGUCGGGAAUCACCCACGACACCCGUUAAGCGAAACUCUAAGUGGGGAGGCUACAACCUCGAUUAGCAUGGGAUCACAAAAUUUAUACCGCGCGCAAACUAGGGGAGCUACCCCUUCGGCUCCAACCGAAAACACCCAUGCCCCCGGACCAGGUGGCAUGCCUACCGGGGGCCUCCGGUAUCUUCCACCAUGGCCUCUCUGUACGGUGUGUGCUAGGAAGGGGUUGACAACUUACUGAACCGUACCCUACCUGUGGCAGGGACAAGUGGUAGUACGAAACAAGUAUGGGGGUUACUGGAACAAGACUCAAUCUACGGUCGACUCAGGAGGUUUAAGUAUUCCCUGCAUGGUUAGCAUAACAAAUAUGUUUCAACCAACAGACAAAAUCACCACUCAUCAUACCUCACUAUGCCGUACCGGACACAACCGUCUCGACGAAGACUGGAGACAAGCUCGUGUCUACCCAAGACAGAGACUUUCCCGGAUUCCUUCCGGUAGGCAUGAAAGGCAUACGAGGGUGAUUACUAUCACAAGCAUAUCAUAUUCCAACAACAAGGAAAAUUCAUUAUGCACUCAUGAGUAUGAUCAUAUCAUCACAUAAAAUAACGAAUACUUCAUGUUAAGGUGGUGUUGUAACCGUAUCAAACAACACACAUAAUAAUGCUUGCCUUCAAGAGUAUGCAAGUGGGGUGCAUUUUUUUGAAAGUUGCUUCCUUCAAAAAUCCUAUUUUGAGAAAAUUCAAAUUAACACAUAGUUUCAAAACAGUACAAAAAAGUUGUUUGGCAAAUUUUCAAAUAAAUAUGAAAAUAAACUAGACAGAAUUGGAGAAACAACAGAAAAAGAAUCAAGUCAAUUGGACUUAUAUUUAAAAAGUUAUAGCCAGUCAAAGUUUAGUCAAGAUUCUGUUUUUAACAAAAAUUAGAAAAAGAAAACGGUUCGGGGAGUAAUACAUUUUCGAACAGGAGGAAACGUACUCUGGGUUUUACGCUUCCACUAACGCCAGCGUGGGUCGUCGCUGGGUCACUGACAGUGGGUCCAUCGGGCCCACUGGUCAGGUUUGACCAGUCGCCCGCGCCUUCUUUCUCUUCUGGCCGAGCAGAGGCGGAGCUCCGGCGAUUGCCGCCGACGAACGGCGGCUCCCCACGGGAUUCCGAGAGCAGGGAUGGAUCCGCUGGUCCAGGGCGGUCCUCCCAGUGGUUGAUAGGCUGGCGGGGGUCGCCGGCGGCGAGCUCCGCGGCGGACGGUGGUUUCGGGAGCAAUUGGGGGCUUGGGCGACGGUGGCUCCCGGUCGAGGCUGAGGUGUUGGGUGGCUCCGCACGGUCGAGGGGAGGAGAAUGGGAGCACGGGGGGGUUAGAAGCCUCGGCCUUGGCCGGAAUUUACCGCAACGUGGCGGCGGCCGAACCUGUCGGAGAUGGGAGAGAGAAUGGCCUCUGGCCAACUGGGGAGGAGGGGGGCUUCCUACUACUCGAACAAGGUUGCUGACGAGCCUAGGCGUGAUUGGAAGGGCUAUUUAUAGCCCGGGGAGGUCGGUCCCCGCGGCUGCGGAUAAGAACGUCGGCAAACCGCCGUUCUGUUGCUAGCAGGGUGAAGUGGCGGCGACGGGCUCGCAGAUAAGCUCGGGCUGUUCAGGGGCGAGUUGGCGCGCUGGAGUGGCUCGGGCGGCACCGUCCAUGGCAGGAGCCUGCUGCGGACGCCGGCGUGCCGCCAAGGGAGCUCUGACAGCGGUGCUGUAGGGCGCCAAGAGGUGGCCAGGGCGGCUCUGCGAUGAGGGAGGGGUCGGGGCGCGAUGGCUAUGGGUGGGAAGGGAUCAGAACGGGCGCGGGGAGGCGGCAGUGAGACGCGACAUCUUGGGCGCACACACGUGCAAAACGCGCGCUCUGGCUACGUCCAGAGCACGCACGCCAAGUGUUCGGCGAAAUGCCAAGGCAUGCCCGGAGGCUUGGAUGAGGCUGGGGAUUAACAGGUUUAGGUUAGAGGUGGCUAGGAGAUUAGUGGACAUGGCUGCUGGGUCAGGGGAUCAAGUCCACAAUGUAAACUAAAAACUAUGCCCAAAACUGGCCAUGCACAUAAGGUGCUCGACAGAAUGCCAUGGGCAUCUGGGCAUCUCUUCUGGUGGCCAAAAUCUCCAGAUCAGAGUCUCUUUGGAUGAUAAAGAGGGUGGCAAGGUUAGUUUGGCAAGACCAGAAACUUGUUAGUGCAAGUUUUGCAAAUUUUCAGUUCUGGACAGAAAAUGAAAGGCAUUAUUGCAUGGACCAAAAAUACUCGAAUGGGUCCAAUCUCCUGGACUUAAGGGUUUGGUAGAGUUGUCUAUAAGCAGGAGAAAAAUCAUGGGUAAUAGGGCAAGAUAAAAUAUGGUUGCAGUAGAAAAUACCAAACUGGACCAGAGAGCAAAAGAGGAUGAUUUGCUCAAAUUUUUCAAAGAACACCAAUGGGUUUUUGCAUAAAGUUGAAUUAUAUGCAUCUACUGACCUCUCCAAACACUUGGAAGAAUUUUUAAAGAAAUAUUUAAAUAGGUUGUAGUGCAAAAUUACCAACUGGACCAGAUUUGAAAAUUUGGUGUAAAGCUCAAAAUCUCCAAUGACCAAAAGAUAUUUUUGCAUAAAAGUGAUGUGGAAACAUCACAUGACAUCCCCAAAUUUUGGUUGAAAUCUUAAAGAAGUAUUCGAAAGGGUUACAGUGCAAAAGAGGCUCCAUAACUUAUGAAAAAUCAUUUUUAGAAGAAUAAAGCUCAGGAAAAACAAUUAUGCAAAUAAACCCGCUGAUAAAAGAAAUGUUUUCUUGAGAGGGUAUACAAGUCCAAUAAUAUUUUUGGAAGGUUUUCACUUGGGGUAAAAACUUCACAAUAUCAAAGAAAAGAGAGGUUCUGAAAUCAAAAGAUAAAUACAGAAAAUAAAAAUUUAAUUCCUAGCAAAAUUUUAAUAAACAUAAUAUGGUUAAAUUUUUGGGGUGUUACGGUCGGCCAGAAGAAACCAUGGCGGAAAGCUUUGGCGACAAGUGAUCUUGAGGCUGCGUGGUGGCCGCAUUCGCCUUGGUGGAUAUCCUUGAGGAUUGCUAUGCCCUUCUGUGGCUCGAUGCAGCGCUGGAAGACACCAGUGAUGCUACGCUUGACAAGUUCUCUGUUUAUUAUUGUGUAUGCUCCAGCUCGGCGUUGCACUAGUCUUGCCGAGAUCUCAUCAGUCGGCAGCUCUUUGUUGACUAGGAAGUUGAGGAUGGGCUGGGCCCAUGAUGGAGCUGUGACUUCUUCUAUUGUCAGUACGGCCAUUGUGACCCGGUGGGUGGGUUGGGUGGUGGAGAGUUGGAGUCAGCCACCGCCUCUUGUGUCGCUGCAGUCCCCGGGCCGACUGCUGCAGUCCCCGGGCCGGGUUCUGAAGUCCCCGAGCCGGGUGCGACUACGGCAGUCCCCGGGCCGCUUGUCAAAGUCCCCGAGCCGCCUGUUGGGUUCCUCCAGUCGGAUCCGACUACAUCAGGGGCAGGCGGUACGAAGAUAGAGUCUGAUUCUGGAGACGGCUUGAUAGACGGUUUGAGGAGGCGCUGGAGAGAGACACCUGUUGGUAUAGCCUGUCGGGUGGAGCCGAUCCGUGCCAGGGCAUCUGCUUGGUCGUGUCGGCCGGUGGCACGUGGAGGAACUCGCACCCUUCAAAGUAUCCACUGAUCUGCUGGACGAGGAAUCGAUAGCUCGCCAUGUUUGCGUCCUUGGCGUCCCAGUCGCCAGAUGACUGCUGGACCACCAAGUCCGAGUCGCCAUAACACAGGAUCCGGCGUAUGCCGAGUUCUUCGGCUAGCCGGAGCCUGUGUAUGAGCGCCUCGUACUCAGCCACAUUGUUGGAGGCGGCAAAAUGGAUUUGCAAUGUGUAUCUGAGCUUGUCGCCUUUGGGAGAGGUGAGGACGAUGCCGGCUCCCAAGCCGGUGCACAUCUUGGACCCGUCGAAGUGCAUCCGCCAAUGAGUGGAGUCGGGAGCCGGUGGUAGGUAUUGGGUCUCGGCCCAGUCGACGAGGAAGUCGGCCAAUGCUUAGGACUUGAUGGCGGUGCGGGGCAGGUAGAAGAUCGUGUAAGGAGCCAGCGCAAUGGCCCACUUAGCCACCCGGCCGGAUGCAUCCCGGCUGCCUAUGAUCUCGGCAAGCGGGGCGGUGCAUAUGACCGUGAUGGGAUGCUCUUGAAAGUAGGGCUUCAGCUUCUUGGCGGCGAAGUACACUCCAUAGCACAUCUUCUGGUAGUGCGGGUAGUUUUGCUUUGAGGUGGACAGUACUUCGCUUAAGUAAUAUACCGGCCUCUGGACUAACUGGGCUCGGCCUUCUUCUGGGCGCUGGACCACGAUGACUGUACUGACCACUCGGCUAGUCGCGGCAAUGUAGAGGAGCAUGGGCUCCUUCUCAGUCGGCGCCGCCAGGACAGGUGGAGUGGUCAGCAUCUUCUUUAACUCAUGGAAGGCUUGGUCUGCUUGGUCGUUCCACUCGAAGUGGGUGGAUUUCUUCAUGAGUCGGUACAGGGGGAGAGCCUUCUCUCUUAGCCGGCUGAUGAAGCGGUUUAGGGAGGCCAGGCACCCGGUGAACUUUUGAACGUCUCGCAACUUGGUGGGAAUCUCCAUUCUCUCAAUGGCCUUGAUCUUCACAGGGUUGCACUCAAUGCCGCGUUCGGAGACCAAAAAGCCUAGAAGCUGGCCGGCUGGUACUCCGAACACACAUUUCUCGGGGUUGAGCUUGAUCUGGAAUCGGCGCAAGUUGGCAAAUGUUUCUUUGAGGUCUUCCAGCAGGGUGCCGCGCUUCUUCGUCUUCACCACAAUAUCGUGUACGUAGACGUGGGCAUUUCUGCCGAGUUGCUUGAGGAGGCAUUUCUGCAUGCAACGCUGAAAAGUGGCACCGGCAUUCCUCAAGCCGAAUGUCAUAGUCAGGUAACAGAAAGCUCCGAAUGGUGUGAUGAAGGCGGUCUUCAGGCGGUCAGCUGGGUCCAACUUGAUCUGGUGGUAUCCUGAGUAGGCAUCCAAGAAACUCAACAGCUCGCAUCCGGCUAUGGAGUCUAUCACUUGAUCAAUCCGUGGUAGGGCAAUGGGAUCUUUGGGGCAGGCUUUGUUGAGGCUAGUGUAGUCUAUACACAUACGCCAUUUGUUGUUCUUCUUCAACACCAAGACCGGGUUGGCAAGCCACUCUGGGAAAAACACUUCCAUAAUGAAGCCGGCGGCCAGGAGCCGGGCUAUCUCUUCUCCUCGAUCCUUCUCUUCUCCUCCGAUAGUCGGCGGAGAGGCUGCUUGACUGGUUUCGCGUCCAUUCGCACGUGUAGCUUGUGCUCGGCGAAAUCCUUCGGAACACCCGGCAUGUCCUUUGGGGACCAUGCAAAGAUGUCUUGAUUCUCACGGAGGAAGUCGACGAGCUCGCCUUCCUAUUUACUGUCCAGGUUUGCACCAAUGACAGCAAACCUCUCCGGGUUCUCCGGGUGCAGAGGUAUCUUCUUCGUCUCCUUGGCCGGCUGGAAGGAGCCCUGAGCAUCAUAUUCCUUGGGGUUGGGGCACAGGGCCGGCUGCUUGCCGGCCAUGGCCACAACUCGCUCCAGCAUCUUCUUCUCUUCUGCAACCACAAGGGACUCGGCCAGUCGGCUGUUGGCUGCAGCGCACUCGAUGGACUUCUUGUAGUCGCCGGCUACAAGGAUGACCCUUCGAGCUCGGCAUCUUCAUCUUGAGGUAGGCGUAGUGGGGCACAGCCAUGAACUUGGCCAGGGCAGGUCGGCCAAGCAAGGCGUCGUAAGGGCUCUCUAGGUCCACUACUUCAAACCAGAUUGCUUCUCGGCGAAAGUGAUCCUUGUCUCCGAAGAGAACAUCCAUCUUGAUCUUGCCGAUUGGGGAACAGGACAGGCCGGGUACGAUGCCAUGGAACACGGUCCGGCUUGGCAUGAGCUGCUUCGCCUUGAGGUUCAACUUCUCCAUGGUGUCGCGGUACAGUAUGUUGAUACUGCUUGCGCCAUCAAUCAGCACGCGGGAGAAUCGGGCAGCUCGCCUCUCCGUCGCGAGGGUGACGGCCAACACCAAUGCGUAGGAGCCAGAAGACAGCAUCACCUCUGGGUGAUCGACCCGGCUCCAGCUGAUAGGCCUUUCUGACCAAUGCAUGAACUCGGGGUUGCUGGAGGCGACUGCGUUGACCUCUUGGUGCUGUCGGCGCCGGCUGCGCUGGUCCUCAACCUGGAUCAUGAAGACGACGUAGGCGACGUGCUCUUCUGGGAACUCAUCCUGAAUGGCUCCGACUGCUGGUCGAGCAGCCGGCUGCACAGGGGCUGGAGGCGGCGGGCCGGGAGGUGGAGGCGGCACCAGCCCCUCGCCCUUGGAGAUCCGUGUGAGCCAGUGGCAUUUCCGGGUCGUGUGGUUGGACGGCUUCGCGCCACUGUGGAACUUGCAGGGGGCAUCGAGAGUCUGCUCGUAGGAGAAGGCUGGCUGCCAAGCCGGCCUGCCGCCCUUCUUCUUGGGAGCGGGCCGCUCUUCAUGCUGCUCGUCUUGGAUAGUGGCCACCUGCCGACUGGUGGAAGGAAGCAUAGGGGCCUUGCGCUUGUGGUCGUUCUGGUAGGGGCGUCGGUUGGAGUCGCCAGCCGGCGUCUUGGGAGCCGGAGCGAGCACCUUUCCAGAAGCGUCCACUCAGAGCUCGGUCUUCAUCGAGGAGUCGGCUGUGGCGUACUUGUCUGCUAUGACCAGCAGCUCGUCGAGGGUAGCCGGCUCAUCGCAGAGGAGUCAGUGCUUGAGGAGGGUGCCCUCUCGGCACCCGGCGGUGAAGUAUUCUAUGGCUUGAACCUCGUGCACCACCUCGCAGGAGUUGCGGAGCUCAGCCCACCGCGUGAGGUAGUCGCGAGUCGAUUCGCUGGGCCCUUGGACGCAUAAGGAGAGCUGGCGGGGCUUGGGUGGCCGCUUGUACGUGCUGGUGAAGUUGCGGACGAAGACUUCCGUGAAGUCCAGCCAGCUGUUGACGCUGUAGGGCUUGAGGCAGCUCAGCCAGGUGCGUGUCGUGCCUUGAAGCAUGAGAGGGACGUACUUCACGGCUACGCGCCUGUUGCCGUUCGCUAUGCUGACAGCGGUAGAGUAGUCGAUCAGCCAAUCUUCCGGCUUAGCGGAGCCUUUGUACUUGGGCGUGUCUCUGGGGAGCGAGAACCCUUUGGGGAAAGGCUCGUCGCGGAUGCGGGGGCCAAAGCAAGGCGGGCCGACAUCGUCUUCUUCUAGCGCCAGGGAUCGUGCUAGGCGGUCGAUCCGGUGGCGGGCGUCGUUCUUGCCGACUCCUUCAUGGUGGCCUAGUCGGCCAUCGAGAGUCGGAGCGUGACCGGCGGCGGGGUGGGAUAUCUCUCCCCACGAGGCGGGGGAGGAGGCGGAUUGCCUUGGUGCUCCACCGCUCAGGGGCGGCCUUCUGCGUCGCGCUCAAUGGUGAUUCGAGUCCAGCUGCGGCUAGCAGCCUGCUCCUUGUCUUCCCUUGCGCGGGCGCCGCUCGCAGUCGGCGACCGGCAUGUCGCAGCGUGUUCUCGGCGUGGGGGAGGACUCUCAGCGCGGGCGCCGGCUUCAUGCCGUUCUACGGCCGCGUCGAUCAGCUGCUGGAUGCGCCUUGUCAUGUAGGGGAGCUCAUCAGCCCCCAGCCCGUUCAGCUCUUCUGCGGCCGCCUGAGCGGCCCGCAGAUUCUCGAGCAGUGUGGCGUAGACUGGGCGGUCUGCCCCCAGCAUGCUGGCGAUGGCCGCGCCACGCUUCUUGACAAGGCCGGCUCGGCUCGGCCCGCCAUGAGGCGGCGUACCAAAGGCGUCUCAUGGAGGCUAUCUUCUGGCCCUCCGCGAUGAGGGCGAGGCGGCGUGCCUCUAGAGUCUCGGCGUCGGCGUCGGCCGGGAUGGGGGACGGACAAGUCGUGCAUCGCCGCUUUAGGGCGUCGUGGGCGUUCUCGCCCGAGUCGGCUCCGUGGCUGAUGACCAGCACCUCAGUGACAGCACUGCUGCCACUGUCGGCUCGAGGGAGAGGGUCGUCGAAGAUCACCACGUCGGUGAGGAAGGCGUCAAGCGAUGCCGUGUCGUAGUCGACAAGCAUCGGGUCAGUGGAGCCGACCGACUCCAGGUGCACAGCAAGCUCGCUGGAGACGUGAAGCUGGUCGAGGAGGCUGACGAGGCGACUCUCGGGGUAGUCUGUGCCCGCGUCGGACGUGAGCUUGUCAGAGAUGCGAGUCUCGCCAAGAAGGUCGGCGAGGCAGCUCGCCGCGUAGGCGUCGUCGACGCCUUGCAGCGCGUCAGGGCAAGCGCCAUCGGGCGUAGCAGGCUGGCUACGCUCGCGGGGGAGGAAAAGGGUUCCCGUCCAGAACAGGUCUCCGGACGACGGUGCACCUGGCCCCACGGUGGGCGCCAAAUGUCGGGUGGUAGGUGCGACAUAUGCCAACGGGUGGCUUAUCAGUGUGGGAGCCAGUAAGACAUCGCCGGUGCCUGGAAACGGGAUAAGGCGAAGACAUGCACGCCGGCGGAUCUUACCCAGGUUCGGGGCUCCCCGUGGAGAUAACACCCCUAGUCCUGCUCUGCAGGGUCUCCGCAUGAUCACUAGAUCAAUACAAGUAGCUACAAGUGCUCCUUGAGCUGUUUGGCUAGGGGAAGAAGAAGGGCAAGGCUAGAUCUCCUUUUCUCUCUAUGUGGUGUGUGAAACUCUAUCAGAUCAACCCUUUGCAUGGGUGUCCCGGGGGGUUUAUAUAGGCCUACCCCGAGGGGUACAAUGGUAAUCCGGCUGGGCGCGGGUCCCAGCCGUCAGUGUCUGUGCUCGCCGGCUUCUCCGCCGGCCAUUGGGGCCGCAGACUGGUGGGUCCCGCCGGCUGCCGGCCUCUUGGCCGACAGGCCGGCCCCACCGCUUGGGGCCUUGUCGGCGGCUGGUUACCGUCGCCUCGCCUCUGAUGACGUGGGCUUUGUCGAGGUAAGCGUGGCUACAGUGCCGCCAUCUUGCGGGCUCUCACUGUAGCCUCACCUUGUCUUGUCUCCUUAAUGAGGCACAUGUUUCGAGGGAGGGAGGUAGCCGGCUAUUGGGAGCCGGCUACGCCCUCGGCCGACUAGGGGAGGCCGGGUCGCCUUCGAGCGUCUCUCUGGCUAAAGGGGCCCGCCGCCCGCGGGCAGUACUGGCGCCUGUCGUGGGUGACAUCGAGGUCAACAUGGCUAUAGUGCCGCGGCGGACGGGAGAUGGCUGACCCGUACGGCGCCCUGUGGCCAUGCCUGUUCCGGGAUUUGGGGGUAGUGGGCUGUACUGCGGCCACACCCCAUCUUAUCACCGUUAUGUGGAUGCAGUCUUGGCCGGCAUCUGGGAGUCGGCUUUCUUCAUGGCCGGCUUCUGGGAGUCGGUCCUCUUUGGGCCGGCUUCCUGGAGUCGGCCAUCUCGUAGCUUUCUUUGGGAAGGUUUCUGAGGCCGGGUCGCCUUCUGGUAGUCGGCCCUGGGGAUAGCCGGCCAGGGGAAGGCGGCCCUAUGCUCUGGAUGCUUGAAGGCUCGAAUGGCCUGAUAAUUUUUCGAAGAGCCAGGGGGUGUCGGUUAGGCUACCCGUGGCCAUUUACUCCGACAAUGGGAGCGGCCGUCUCUACGGCCAGGGCUUGGUGCCCUGCCGGAGCCAGCUGCCCCUUGGCAGGCUCAGUACCCACGGUAUCACCUUUGCCGGCGGCCCCAGGGGGCUCGGCGGGAAAGUACUUGCCGGGGCCUGACUUCCUCCGCUUGUUCUGCUCCGUUGAUGGUUCGACGGAUGGUUGAGUUAGCCGAAGCACAAAAGUACCUGGUUCCACAGGUAGCUUGAAGGCAGCGCGCUUUGACAGGUAAUCGGCGAUGUCAUUCUCCGCUCGGGGAACGUGCUCUGCUUGUAUACCGUCAAAGCGCUCUUCCAGCUUCCUCACCUCAUCUACGUAGGCCUCCAUCAACGGGCUCUGAUAAUCCUUGUUGACUUGCCUGACGACAAGCUGUGAAUCAGCCCUGACGGCGAGCUUCUUAACCCCGAGGUCUGCUGCAAUCCUGUGACCGGCAAGCAACCCCUCGUACUCGGCAGUGUUGUUUGUGGACAUCUCUGUGGGAAAGUGCAUCUGGAUUACAUACUUGAGGUGCUCUCCAGUGGGUGCGACGAGCAGCACAUCGACACCGGCGCCUUGCAGCGAAAAAGCCCCAUCAAAGUACAUGAUCCAGUUGCGACUUGCUUCCUUGUCGGGGAGAGCGGUCUCCCAGAUUUCUUCAUAGGGCGUUGAGGUCCACUCCGCAAUGAACUCCGCCAGUACUCUGCUCUGGAUCGUCGAAGUACUUUCAAACUUCAAACCAAAGCUCGACAGCUCCAAGGCCCACACCACAAUCCUCCCAGUUGCGUCUGGAUUAUGCAGUAUUCGUGCAACGGGAGGCGGGUGACAACAGUGAUCUUGUGUGCUUGGAAGUAAUGACGCAGCUUCCUCGAGGCCAUGAGGAGGCCGAAGAGCAAUUUCUGCACACCAGAGUACCUUGACCUAGCCCCCUGCAAGAGGGAGCUGACAAGAUAAACCGGGUGCUGCAUCAUCUUCUUCUUCUGCAUCACUUCUCUUGGUCACGCAGGCCCUGUCCUGUCAAUGUCAAACCCUGCCGGGGGCCCCGCCUUGCCGGCACCAGGCCCUGUCGGGGGAAUUUCUAACUCGCCAUUCGCCGGUCCUGCCGUUGCCACUACCUCUUCAUCGACCUCCCUCUGCGCCACCAGCAUGGUGCUGACCACUUGAUUCGUUGCCGCCAGAUACAGCAGCAACGGCUCUUGUGGUUUAGGCGCCACCAAUACUGGCAUAGAGGAGAGGUAUUUCUUCAGGUCCUGCAGUGCUGCUUCGGCCUCCGGGGUCCACUCCAUUGGGCCCGCCUUUUUCAAAAUCUUGAAAAAGGGAAGGGCGCGCUUGGCAGACUUGGAGAUGAAUCGGCUCAUGGCGGCAACGCAGCUAGUGAGCCGAGGCACAUCCUUGAUCCGCUUGGGCGCCUCAAUCUGCUCAAUAGCCUUGAUCUUGUCUGGGGUCGCCUCGAUCCCACGCUAUGACACAAAGAACCCGAGAAGUUUGUCGGACGGAACUCCGAAGACACACUUCUCAGGGUUCAACUUAAGGUUGAUCUUGCGCAAAUUUGCAAAUGUCUCCUCCAGAUCUUGCACAAGUGUUGCCCUGUCCUUGGUCUUGACCACUAUGUCAUCCAUAUAUGCUUCCAUAUUUCUAUGUAGCUGGGGCUCAAAACCAAUUUGGACUGCUCUUGCAAACGUUGAGCCAGCACUCUUCAACCCGAAAGGCAUCCGUAAAAAGCAAUACAUACCACAUGGGGUGAUGAAUGAUGUCUUCUCUUCGUCCUCUCUUGUCAUGAAGAUCUGAUGGUACCCUGAGUAGGCGUCAAGGAAUGACAACAGAUCACACCCGGCCGUGGAGUCAACAAUCUGGUCUAUGUGCGGCAACGGGAAAGGGUCCUUGGGACAAGCCUUAUUGAUAUCUGUGUAGUCAAUACACAGCCUCCACUUCCCGUUUGCCUUGCGUACCACCACUGGAUUGGCCAACCACGUCGGAUGGAGCACUCCUCUCACCAAGCCUGCCGCUUCCAACUUCCUGAUCUCCUCUGUGAUGAACUCUUACCUUUCCAAAGCCUGCUUUUUGACCUUCUACUUGACGGGCCGCGCAUGAGGACAGACAGCAAGGUGGUGCUCAAUCACCUCCCUGGGAACGCCGGGCUUGUCGGAUGCUUGGCAUGCAAACACAUCGACAUUCGCCCGCAGGAAGGUGAGGAGCGCGCCUUCCUAUUUGCUGUCGAGCGUGGAGCUUAUGGUGAAAGCCCCUCUCGUGCCAUCCUCCUUGAUGGACACCUUCUUGGUCUCUGGCGAUGCAGCUCUGGAUUUCUUGCUCUUGCCGGUGGAGCUCUCUGGCACGUCCUUGACGGUAGCGCAACACUCCAAAGAGGUGCGCUUGCUGGAGUGGUGCGGGAGGUCCUGCCGGUCUUCUUCUUCCCUCCCGGGGCUUCAGCGGCAGGAGCAAGUGCCUUGGCGGCAGCUGCUGCAACUGCUUCCCGGUAGAGUAGGUCAGCGCAGAUCAGCGUGUCCUUCUUGUCGCAGGGGACGGUGAUGAUGGUCAUCGGCCCAGGCAUCUUCAGCGUGUUGUAGGUGUAAUGCGACGCGCCAUGAACUUGGCUAGUGCUGGGCGGCCGAGGAUCCCAUUGUAGGGCAAGGGGAUCUCAGCUACAUAAAAGACAAUCCUCUUCGUCUUGUAGUUCAACUCGCCUCCAAUCGUCACACGCAACAUGACCUUCCCCUUCGGCUGGAUCCUUCCUGGGUUGACCCCUUGAAACGUGCACGUCUCCUUGAGGUCUCCGUCGGGAAUUUGCAGCCUUUUGAUCACAAUGGGUGAGAUCAAGUUCAGACCGGCCCCGCCGUCAACCAGCAUAUUUUUCACAUUGAGGUUGUGUAUCGUUGGUGAAACCAACAACGGCAAACACCUGACCGCAGUUGUGCGAUCAGGGUGAUCCUCGGCGUCAAAAAUGAUGGGCGUGCUAGACCACUUCAGCGGCUUUUGAGCAUCGAACGAUGGCUCCGCUGCUGUGAUCUCACGCGCCCACUGCUUGAGCUGGCGGUGGGAAGUGUGCAGCGAGGCACCACCAUCGACGCACAUGGCCGCCGUAGCCUUCUGAAACUCUUGCUCGCCGGACUCGUCAUCCUCGUCAUGAUCAUCGUCUUCCUGCUUGGCCGCCACGCUUCUUGCCGGAUCCUUCGGCACCAUCCUGACCCUUCUCCUUGUCCCGCCUCUCAUACUCGGCCGUUUGCUUUUCGGCAAGCAGCUCGACCUGUCGGCAGUUCUAGAGGUCGUGGCCCUUGGUGCGGUGGAUCUUGCAAUACUGCCUGUCGGAGCCUCCUGGCUUGUCGGCAGCUGCCAAGGCCCGGCAGGCGGCGCACCCAGCAAUCUCCUUGUCGGGGUCGUCUGCCUUGGCCUUCUUGGCAGAGCCGGUGUCGUCGGAUCCCUCGACGGCAAGCACGGCCUUGCCCUUGUGUUUCCUAUUGCGACGCCGACCCUUCUUCGUCGGGCCGGCGAUGUCUUCAUCAGUAGAGUCGGUUUCUGCGCCGGCAUCCUCGCCGGGGUACUUCCUUCCCUCUUCAGCCCGGGCGCACCUAUCGGCCAGAACAUAAAGUUCGGCCACAUCUUUAACCUUGUUCAUCGCCAGCUCUUCACGCAUCUUGCGAUUGCGCACGUUCUGAUGGAACGCGCUAAUCACGGCGGCGGGAUGAACAUCUGGGUUGUUGUACUGCACCCGGCUAAACCUCUAUAUGUACUUGCGCAGGGUUUCCCCUUCGUUCUAGGGAAUGUUAUGCAAAUCACUAGCCUGGCCAUGAGCUUGGUGGCCUCCAGUGAAGGCACCGAUGAACUCAUGGCACAGAUCCGACCAAGAAGAAAUGGAAUCCGUCGGCAAGUGCAUCAAACAAGACAUGGCAUUGGGUUUCAGCGCCAACGGGAAGUAAUUGGCAAGCACCUUGUCGUCGCGAGCUCCAGCAGCUUGCAUCGUGAUGGUGUAGAUGCUGAGGAACUCUGACGGAUGGGUCUUGCCGUUGUACUUCCCGCCGACGUCGGGCUUGAACAUGCGGUGGGACGGCCACUGGAACUGCCGCAGCUCACGGGUAAAGGCUGGGCAACCCACCUCGUAAGGUAGGCCGCCGGAGCCUCCCGUUGCUGGGUGGUCCAUAGCGGGCCCCGCUCGCUUAUCUGACUGGUGGCGUGUGUCGCGCCGGCGCUCGAUGGUGGUUUGAUCGUCUUCAUGGGCUCGUUCUCAAAGAACUGGGCGCUGAUCGUGGUGGGUCCGUGGGUCGGACGACGCUAUGGAUAUGUUAUCACAAGCGUCGUCAUGACGGACUGGCACCAGCGGGAACUGGUGCAGGGGAGGAGAGUGCACCGUGGCUGCAGCUCCCUCGGUCCUUCCACCGCUAGCAUGCGGUGGCUCGACGGAGCGCCGGCCCGAGGGCCCCGUCGGUCACGGUUCAUCUUUGUUUGCGACAGCGACGAGGCUCCGGAUGGUGGCUCUCCAUUCAUCGAGCUUUUCCGUGGCAGGAGGGAAGUCGAGCAGCAGCUGCGCGCGCGCCAAAGCUUCUGCUGGCAUGGGUGGCAGCGAAAGCUGCGUGGACCGUGACGUGCUCCAACUUCUAACCAUGUUAGAAGGAGCUCUAUCACGGCCCGGCGGCUGUGCGCCAUUUUCGCCAGCACUUUGGUGGGCAUGUUGGCCUCCUCCAUCCCGCGAGUGAUGCACAGGACUCUUCCCACGGCGGCAUCCAGGGUCACCAGCAUGGUGACGCUGCUCGUCGCGCACACGCUGGGAAGAGCGUGUCGUGGGCGCCGGUGUAGGCAUCUUAGAGGUUGCUGCGCCGCCCGUAUGUGGCACAGCGACACCCCUGGAGGGCCCAGCACCGCCUGUGGGGGCCCAGCCCCGUCUUUGGAUUUUGCGGUGUGCAGCCCGUCGUCUGGCGCACGAACGACGCCGCUCGCCAGGCUCUGACUGCAAGAGCGAUGUUGGUGCUCGCGGGCCGCGGCUCGGGUUCUGUCCGCGACCGGCGCGCUGCUCGCCCGCACUGGCACGGGCCGUUCGGCUCCCGAUGAGCCGAUCGCCGUGAUCGUCUUCUUCUUGGGAUCUAUGGCGAUGAAGAACAGCUAGGCUAACUGCUAGACCAGAUUCCACAACUGCGCCACCUACCUGGCGCGCCAAAGAUGUCGGUGGGAACGACACCUAUGGAAUCACUGGGAUCCCUUCUACGGUUGGCGGGCGUGAGGUUGUGUAAAGAGCGGGUCUGACAGGAAGCACACGGAUCGUUUACCCAGGUUCGGGCCACGAAGAUGCGUAAUACCCUAGUCCUGUUUUGGUGCAUGUAUUUGAGUGUUCUUCUGUUCUGGAGCAUGCUACGGGGUGCAACUUGCCCAAAAGAGCCGAAUCCCUCUCCUGGCCGCCUCGGGCCUCCUUUUAUAGGCAAAGGGGGUUGCCAUAGUGGCACACAGGAGGUGGAAAGGUCUACAGUUGAUAAGCCUAUCCUUUGCGACCGUCGGACAAAUGCAUUUAAUGCGCUGCCGACAUGCCCCCCUUGCUUUAUCGGGGACGGCAAGGAAGCACGUCCCAGCUAUCGUCGCCUCGCCUGGCCUUGACACGUGUUCGAGCUGAUGAGGCGUCCUGGCGCCAUGUUGGCCGGCUACUGGGCUGGCGCGGUGGUGGAGCCUUCACGAAGACCUGCAUGCCACCACGCAGGUGCUUGCUGAGUUGGUUGUGCAGGCCGCUCGUUGCGACGCAGGUGCCUGCUCGGCUGGUCGAGCUGGCAGUUGCAUGGAUGGCGGUGGAGUUAUGGCAGAUGCGGGCCCUGCUGCCAUCCUGUAAGUGUCUCCAGCAAGGGCCUUGUCGGGGCCCCGGCAAGGGUCUUGCCGCGGUUCCAUGGUCUUCCCCGGCAAGUAUCUUGUCGGGGGUCUCGUGGAUUUCCUCGGCUAGGAUCACGCCGACGAUCGCCAUCUUCUGGUCCUCAUCUGAUCUCAUAUGCUUAUUAUCUUGACGAAGAUCUGCAUGCCACCAUAGAGGUGCCUCCCGAGCCUUGGUUCUAAUGUGGUUAGUUGGUGGUGUUGGAACCCGUGGGCUCAAGGGUGGCUUGCUCUGCUGGCGUCGGGCAAGUUGCCCCGGCAAGGCUCUUGCCGGGGCUGCGAAGGCUGCCUCGGCAAGGGUCUUGCCGAGGGAGUCCACCUCUCCCUCUUGCUCUUUUGCGUUCUCUAGUCCUGGAGUUGCCUCUGGUCGCCUUAUGCCUUUGGCCCCCCUCCUCUGCCUCGCGAGGUGUGGCCGCGGGCGCGGCUCUGACUGCCCGUGCACAAGUAAAGGGGUAAAAAGGAGUGCCCCUACUUUUGUACACCGACAACGUCUUGUAUGAUUUGAGUCUUUGCUUUUUAGUUUACCACAAUCAUCCUUGCUAUACACACCUUUUGGAGAGACACACAUGAGUCAGAAUUUAUUAGAAUACUCUAUGUGCUUCACUUAUAUCUUUUGAGCUAGACAGUUUUGCUCUAGUGCUUCACUUAUAUCUUUUAGAGCACAGUGGUGGUUUCAUUUUAUAGAAAUUAUUGACCUCUCAUGCUUCACUUAUAUUAUUUUGAGAGUCCUUUAGAAUAGCAUGGUAGUUUGCUUUGGCUAUAAAAUUAGUCCUAAUAUGAUAGGCAUCCAAGGUGGGUAUAAUAAAAACUUUCAUAUAAAGUGCAUUGAAUACUAUGAGAAGUUUGAUACUUGAUGAUUGUUUUGAGAUAUGAAGAUGGUAAUAUUAGAUUCAUGCUAGUUGGGUAGUUGUGAAUUUGAGAAAUACUUUUGUUGAAGUUUGCAAGUCCCGUAGCAUGCACGUAUGGUAACCGUUGUGUGACAAAUAUGAAGCAUGAGGUGUUUCUUUGAUUGUCCUCCUUAUGAGUGGCGGUCGGGGACGAGUGAUGGUCUUUUCCUACCAAUCUAUCCCCCUAGGAGCAUGCGCGUAAUGCUUGGUUUUUGAUGACUUGUAGAUUUUUGCAAUAAUUAUGUGAGUUCUUUAUGACUAAUGUUGAGUCCAUGGAUUAUACGCACUCUCACCUUUCCAUCAUUCCUAGCCUCUUCGGUAUCGUGCAUUGCCCUUUCUCACCUUGAGAGUUGGUGCAAACUUCAUCGGUACAUCCAACCCUCGUGAUAUGAUAUGCUCUAUCACACAAAAACCUCCUUAUAUCUUCCUCAAAACAGCCACCAUACCUACCUAUUAUGGCAUUUCGAUAGCCAUUCCAAGAUAUAUUGCCAUGCAACUUUCCACCGUUUCAUUUAUUAUGACAAGCGUCAUCAUUGUCAUAUUGCCUUGCAUGAUCAUGUAGUUGGCAUCGUAUUUGUGGCAAAGCCACCAUGCAUAAUUUAUCAUACAUGUCACUCUUGAUUCAUUUCCCAUUCUGGUACACCGCCGGAGGCAUUCAUAUAGAGUCAUAUUUUUUUCUAGUAUCGAGUUGUAAUCGUUGAGUUGCAAAUAAAUAGAAGUGUGAUGAUCAUCAUUAAUAGAGCAUUGUCCCAAAAAAAUAAAAAAAUAAAGAAAAAAAGGAAAGGCCAAAAAAGGCCCAAAAAAGAAAUAAAAGGGAUAGUGCUACUAUCCUUUUUCCACACUUGUGCUUCAAAGUAGCACCAUGAUCUUUAUGAUAGAGAGUCUCUUAUUUUGUCACUUUCAUAUACUAGUGGGAAUUUUUCAUUAUAGAACUUGGCUUGUAUAUUCCAACAAUGGGAUACACACCCACUUAGUUUCUUUUGUUGAGCUUUCAUACAUUUGUAGCUCUAGUGCAUCCGUUGCAUGACAAUCCCUACUCCUUGCAUUGACAUCAAUUGAUGGGCAUCUCCCUAGCCCGUUGAUUAGCCGCGUCAAUGUGAGACUUUCUCCUUUUUUGUCUUCUCCACAUAACCCCCAACAUUAUAUUCUAUUCCACCCAUAGUGCUAUGUCCAUGGCUCACGCUCAUGUAUUGCGUGAAAGUUGAAAAAAGUUUGAGAUUAGUAAAGUAUGAAACAAUUUCUUGGCUUGUCAUCGGGGUUGUGCAUGGUGAGAGCAUUUUUGUGAGACGAAAAUGAAACAUAACCAAACUAUAUGAUUUUGUAGGGAUAAGCUUUCUUUGGCCAUGUUAUUUUGAGAAGACAUAAUUGCUUAGUUAGUAUGCUUGAAGUAUUCUUAUUUUUAGGUCAAUAUUAAACUUUUAUCUUGAAUCUUUCGGAUCUGAACAUUCAUGCCACAACAAAGAGAAUUACUAUGAAAAUUAUGUUAGGUACCAUUCCACAUCAAAAAUUCUGUUUUUAUCAUUUACCUACCCGAGGACGAGUAGGAAUUAAGCUUGGCCAUGCUUGAUACGUCUCCAACGUAUCUAUAAUUUUCGAUUGUUCCAUGCUAUUAUAUUAUCUCUUUUGCAUGUUUAAUGGGCUUUAUAUACACUUUUAUAUUAUUUUUGGGACUAACCUAUUAACCGAAGGCCCAGUGCAAAUUGAUGUUUUUUUGCCUAUUUCAGUGUUUCGCAGAAAAGGAAUAUCAAACGGAAUCCAAACAGAAUGAAACCUUCGCGAGGAUCAUUUUUGGAACAAACGCAAUCCAGGAGACUUGGAGUGGACAUCAAGGAAGCAACGAGGCGGCCACGAGGUAGGAGGGCGCGCCCAGGGGGGUUGGUGCGCCCCCACCCUCGUGGGCCCCUCGUGGCUCCACCGACCUACUUCUUUCGCCUAUAUAUACUCAUAUACCCUGAAAACAUCCAGGAGCACCACGAAACCCUAUUUCCACCACCGCAACCUUCUGUACCCGUGAGAUCCCAUCUUGGGGCCUUUUCCGGUGCUCCGCCGGAGGGGGAAUAGAUCACGGAGGGCUUCUACAUCAACAUCAUAGCCUCUCCGAUGAUGUGUGAGUAGUUUACCAUAGACCUUCAGGUCCAUAGUUAUUAGCUAGAUGGCUUCUUCUCUCUCUUUGGAUCUCAAUACAAAGUUCUCCUCGACCUUCUUGGAGAUCUAUUUGAUGUACUUCUUUUUGCGGUGUGUUUGGCGAGAUCCGAUGAAUUGUGGGUUUAUGAUCAAGAUUAUCUAUGAACAAUAUUUGAUUCUUCUCUGAAUUCUUUUAUGCAUGAUUUAAAUAUCUUUGCAAGUCUCUUCGAAUUAUCGGUUUAGUUUGGCCUACUAGAUUUAUCUUUCUUGCAAUGGGAGAAGUGCUUAGCUUUGGGUUCAAUCUUGCGGUGUCCUUUCCAAGUGACAAUAGGGGCAGCAAGGCACGUAUUGUAUUGUUGCCACCGAGGAUAAAAAGAUGGGGUUUAUAUCAUAUUGCUUGAGUUUAUCCCUCUACAUCAUGUCAUCUUGCUUAAUGCAUUACUCUGUUCUUAUGAACUUAAUACUAUAGAUGCAUGCUGGAUAUCGGUCGAUGUGUGGAGUAAUAGUAGUAGAUGCAGAAUCAUUUCGGUCUACUUGUCACGGACGUGAUGCCUAUAUACAUGAUCAUGCUUAGAUAUUCUCAUAAGUAUGCGCUUUUCUAUCAAUUGCUCGACAGUAAUUUGUUCACCCACCGUAGAAUAUGCUAUCUUGAGAGAAGCCACUAGUGAAACCUAUGGCCCCCGGGUCUAUCUUCCAUCAUAUUAUUUUCCUAUCAAUUUGAUAUUUCUGCCGCAGUUUAUUUUGCAAUCUUUACUUUCCAAUCUAUACAACAAAAAUACCAAAAAUAUUUAUCUUAUUAUCUUUAUCAGAUCUCACUUUUGCAAGUAGCCGUGAAGGGAUUGACAACCCCUUUAUCGUGUUGGUUGCAUGGUUCUUGAUUGUUUGUGCAGGUACUAGGGACUUGCGUGUAGUCUCCUACUGGAUUGAUACCUUGGUUCUAAAAAACUGAGGGAAAUACUUACGCUACUUUGCUACAUCACCCUUUCCUCUUCAAGGGAAAACCAACGCAUGCUCAAGAGAUAGCAGCGUUUAGAAUCAUUACAAUGUAAUCUAGAUUACUGACUCUAGUGCAAGUGGGAGACUGAAGGAAAUAUGCCCUAGAGGCAAUAAUAAAGUUGUUAUUUAUAUUUUCUUAUAUCGUGAUAAAUGUUUAUUAUUCAUGCUAAAAUUUUAUUAACUGGAAACUUAGUACAUGUGUGAAUACAUAGACAAACAGAGUGUCACUAGUAUUGAAAGUGCGUUAAGUCGACUAGAGGUGGGUGAAUAGGCGAUUUUUAUGAAUUCUUCACACAGGAAUUUCAAGGUGAGUAAUUUCCUAAGCGAAGAACUACUUGCAGCAGACUAAGUACUCAGAUGCAUACAUGACAUAACAUAAACAUGGACAUCAUGAUGAAAUGAAAACAGACACAAAGUACAGGAAGCGUAAGCACAGGAUAAAACAGGAUGAAGACAAACAGACUGAAGAAAUUGAACUGAGGAAAUUGAGAAAGUCUUCAGUCAAUGUCUUCAAACAGACAUGAACAAGCACACAACACAAUACUAAGGAAUGGAAGGGUUGAGGAAAUAGAACCAGUUAGGUCGGUGAAGAAAAUGAUGUAGACCUGUUCCAACUGCUCUGACAGUUGUACGUCUGGUUGGAGCGGCUAGGUAUUUAAACCUAAGGACACACAGUCCUCACCGUAUUCUCCUUGAGCUAAGGUCACACAGACCUCACCCAAUCACUCGUGGUAAGUCUUCAGGUGACUUCCAAACCUUCACAAACUUGGUCACUCGGCAAUCCACAAUAUCCUCUUGGAUGCUCUAGACCAUGACGCCUAACCAUCUGGAAGAUGCACAGUCUUCAAAGGUAACAAGCGUCGGAUCCACGUAGGAUCAAUCUCUUCAGUGAUGCUCAAUCACUUUGGGUUUGUAAGUGUUUGGGUUUGGGUUUUCCUCACUUGAUGAUUUUCGCUCAAAGUCCUCAGAGGAUGGGAUGCUCUAAAUGACAAGUGUCAGUUUCUCUAGGAGCAGCCAACCAGCUAGUGGUUGUAGGGGGCAGCUAUUUAUAGCCUAGGGAGCAGCCCGACAUGAUAAGACAUAAAUGCCCUACAAUGAUAUGACCGUUAGGUGGGUAGAUAUUUUGGGACAGCUGAAGCAUAGCACAGCAACGGUCGGAAAUUUGACUAUCAAAUUCCUCAGGGCUAUCAUGUUCCUCACUUGUAGGCAAUCCGCACUGGCGAAUUCCUAACUCCUCAGUCAGAACAAAUUCCUCAGAGACCAAAAGAUCUUCGUUUGUGUCACUGAAGAUAUUGACUGAACUGCAUGAGAUUUCCAAUGGCUUCACUCGAAGGGAUUGGUAGGUGUAGGAUUUUGAGAUGAGCAUCACUUGGAAACUUUUCCUUAGUUUUUCCUCGACCCCCUUUAACAGUACGGUCUUCCCUAUGACUCAAGAAAGAGUAAAAGAAACUAUGAAAACAAAAGUCUUCACGCUUCAUGUUCCUCGCAUGAAUAUCAAGUCAUCAUGGGCACACCAAUUUCUUCAUCUUCAAAGUCUUCAGAAAUCCAAAGUCUUCAGUUGAAGACGUUCAUUUUUAGGGGCCGACUUUCUCUAUAAAUAUCAAACUCCUCAUAGACUUAUAGACAUGUGUACACUCACAAACGCAUCAUUCCCUUAACCUAUAAGUCUUCAAUACACCAAAAUCACUAAGGGGCACUAGAUGCACUUACUAUCUCCCCCUUUUUGGUAAGAUGACAAUAUAGGUUAAGUUUUCAAUGGGGAUAAACAUAUGAAGUGUAAAUACUGAUAUUGAGGAAUUUGAUUGCAAGAUAUAGAAGAACUCCCCCUGAAGAUGUGCAUAGUGAGGAAUUUGCUUUUGAAGCAAUGCACAUUUGAAGAGUAGAAUCAUGGAGAUCUCCCCCUAUAUCUUGUAAUUCAUACGCGCAUUUAACAUAUGAUAUUGAAGAAUUUGAAAUGCACGAUGAAAAAUGGUGACUGAUGUAAUUCAGCAUGCGUGCAUUUGACAUAUAUGAGGAAAUAGCAUGCAAAAAAACAAAGCAAAAGUAUCAGACCACCAUCGGGUUUAAGUUUACAACUCGAUCCAACAAAGUCUUCAAAAGAACGAGAGUUGUAUCUUAGCAAAAAAAUGCCCAUAAAUAGAGACCCGCUUGAAGACUAACUCAAAUUUCUCCCCCUUUGUCAUCAAAUGACCAAAAGGGACGAAAAGUGAGGACUAACGCCCCUGAAGAAUAACAUCAUGAAGUUGAUGGAGGAGCGCCAGUGUUGUUGGGGUCGGUUGUAGAAGUAGGGCCUGCCGCAAUGUCACACCCAAGAUGCGACCCUAUCCUAAAGGAACUCGAAGGUCCCACCAAGGAUAGAAGCGCAUCUUGAAAAUGCUUUUGCAAGGUGGAUAUCAUUACAUCAACAUUACAUAAUAGAUGGGAUACAUACAAGGCAUACAAAUGCCGCAAGAAUACAUCAAUACAUCAAGCAUAAGAUCAACAUCCGUCUAUGGAUGAAACACAAACAGAAACUCCAACGACAUCCACCCUGCUAGCCCAGGCUGCCGACCUGGAACCUAUCCCUUGAUCGAAGAAGAGGCAGAAGAAGAACACCAAACGAGAAACAUCGCUCCCGCGUCAUGAUCAUCGCAAAACCUGUACCUGCAACUGGUGUUGUAGUAAUCUGUGAGCCACGAGGACUCAGCAAUCCCAUUAGCAUGGGUAUCAAGACUAGCAAAGCUUAAUGGGUAAGGAAGGGGUAAAGUGGUGAGGUUGCAGCAGCGACUAAGAAAGUAUGGUGGCUAACUUACGCAAACAAGAGCGAGAAGAGAAGCAAAGGAACGGACGUGAAACUAGCAAUGAUCAAGAAGUGAUCCUGAACUCCUACUUACGUCAAACAUAACCCAUAAACUGCGUUCACUUCCCGGACUCCGCCGAGAAGAGACCAUCAUGGCUACACACGCGGUUGAUGCGUUUUAGUUAAGGUCAAGUGUCAAGUUCUCUACAACCGGACAUUAACAAAUUCCCAUCCGCCACAUAACCGCGGGCACGGCUUUCGAAAGAUAGUACCCUGCAGGGGUGUCCCAACUUAGCCCAUUAUAAGCUCUCACGGUCAACGAAGGAUAUUCCUUCUCCCGGGAAGACCCGGUCAGUCUCGGAAUCCCGGUCACAAGACAUUUCGACAAUGGUAAAACAAGACCAGCAAAGCCGCCCGAUGUGCCGACAAUCCCGAUAGGAGCUGCACAUAUCUCGUUCUCAGGGCAACACCGGAUGAGACAUCCUACGAGUAAGACCAGACCUCGAGUUUCCACGAGGGGGCCCUGCAGUCUACUCAGUUCAGACCAGCACUUAGAGAAGCACUGGCCCGGGGGGGUUAAAAUAAAGAUGACCCUCGGGAGCGCGACUCCCAAGGGAAAAAGGCUAGGUGAGGCAAAUGUAAAACCAGGUUGGGCCUUGCUGCAAGAGUUUUAUUCAAAGCGAACUGUCAAGGGGGUCCCAUAAAUCACCCAACCGCGUAAGGGACGCAAAAUCAAGGAACAUAACACCGGUAUGUCGGAAACUAGGGCGGCAAGAGUGGAACAAAACACCAGACAUAAGGCCGAGCCUUCCACCCUUUACCAAGUAUAUAGAUGCAUUAAUAAUAUAAGAGAUAUUGUGAUAUCCCAACAUAAACAUAAACCAACAUGGAGCAAUCUUUAUCUUCACCUGCAACUAGCAACGCUAUAAGAGGGGCUGAGCAAAAGCGGUAACAUAGCCAAACAAUGGUUUGCUAGGAAAGGUGACAAAGGUUAGAGGUGGUUUCAUGGCAAUUUGGGAGGCUUGAAGAGCAAGUGAAUAGGUAGCGCAGCAUAGCGAUAGAACGAAGCAACUAGCAUAGCAAUGAUAAUAAUGAGAUCCAAGGUGAUGGUCAUCUUGCCUGAAAUCCCGCUAGGAAGAAGAACGAGUCCAUGAAGAAGAUGAAGCCACGAAGACGAACGAAACCUCACGAUCGCAACGACACGGGAACUAUCGAGAAGAAGUACAACAACAAGGUAAACACACAACACAUAACAAGGCAUGAUGCACAACCAAGCAUGAUGCAUGACAAAGCUACAUGAAACUACUCAUGGCAAGAGAUGAUGCAUACAAGAGCAACACAUCAAAGCAAGUUUAAAUGAGGCCGGAAACAACAUAUAACAAUUCCGGUAAGUCCUCAUAUGCAAAAUUCGAAAUUGGUCCAGAUCUGAAUAACCUUAUGUUCAAUUUGUUAAACAGCAAGUUAAAAUGCACCAAGAUGAUCUACACGAAAUUCUAGUCAAGUUACAUAUAAAGUUCAUUAGAUUCGGAGCUAUGGCCUAGAAGAUAUGAGCAAAACAAGUUAAACAUGUCAUUGAUGCAAAAUGCAUUCGAAAAUCAAGCAAACACCUCAAAACAAUGAUGCAACAAGGGAAUAUGAAACUACAUGCAAAACUAAGCAAGUUUCAUAUAGAGCAUGCUCAAAACAGAGCAACGGUGCAACACAUACACUCCAAACAAGAUAUAGCAACAAUCUGUCCAAAACAGCAACUAGGCAUCUAGCAAGCAUCAAAACAAAAUGCUACAGCAACUCAACAUGAAAACAAAAGGCAUGUACAUGAUGUACAGGUAAAGCAUGAAAAAACAUGAACACUGAGCUAUCUCCAGAAAUCACUAGAACAUGCUCAAAAGGACUUGGCGAGAUUGCAAAUAAUAACAGAUUCACAGACUUGGCAGAAAUCACUGGACAUGGCAGAACUAACAUCAGGUUGCAAAGUUUGGAGCUAUCAAACAACAUGCUACAGGAACAGAUCAUAGGAAACAAAGGCAUGGAAUGAAUGUACUAAUUGCAUAUAACAAAAGUCCCUUACUGAUCACGAGCCAAAAAGGCACAUAAGAUAUGAUGGCACCCAUGUAAACAUAGCAAGUUUUAUUAACAGCUUCAGACUUAGAAAAAAAACAGAGCAUGGCAGAAAUAACGAUAAGUAGGCAUGUUGGUGAGCUCGAACCACUCACUACAGAUCAUUACAUGGCAUGGCAAGGUAACCAGCAGUAAGAAGGCAUAAAUAUGAAGCUAAGCAUGGCAAUCGCAUAGUCAUAGGGUGCAUCGAUCACUGGUAACCACCAUGGAAAAAUUGAUUAACAUGUAAACAAUCUGCCAGGAACAUUUUAUAGCAAACGUAGAGCAAGAUAACAACAAGCUACAACAUGCCAUAAAUGCAAACAAGGGUAUGGAUGGAUAGAGCAUAACAUGUAUAACAAAACACCCUUAGUGAACAUCUCCAGAUCAUGCAUAGAAUGACAUGUAGCAGCAGGUUUACAUGGCAUCACAACACAAUAGACUCCGACUUAGCAGAAAUGACCAAGUCACAGAAAUCAGCAACAUCAUGGAGGCUAAUUUGCAUGCUUGUGCUAGUCACCACAUAGAUCACAAAAAUACAAGACAAGCACCACUGUAUAGAUGGCGUGGCGUAGUUCAAAACACCUAUAGAGCUCAUGCUCAUAGGAUGCACACAUAAAAUGCAAUGAAAAAGACAAAUCACCAAGUUAUGAUAACAGACAGCAGUUAACAUCAUAUAGCACUCUUGCAACGAUGAUAAGGGCAUCAAGAUAAUCUCAAACAAGCAUGGCACAAUGGAACAAAAUGAUGAGCAUCUCACAGUGAACAUUUCGACAUAUUAUAUGCAUGAAUCGGAGCACCGAGCACGAAGUUAUGGCAUGAUGAAUAGGGCAACAUAAUGCAACAAUUCGGGACUUAGCAGAAAUCAAAGGGAGGGGAAAGUCAACCUUCGGGGAUCCGGAUCUGGAGGGUUCAUCGGCGCGGUCGCCGAGGAUGGCCGGAGAAGAGGGAGACAACGGCCGGUGUGGUCGGGGGGAGGCGCCGGAGGGAGUCGGGGCCGGCCGGAUCCGGGCAAGGGCGAGGCGCGGCCGCCGGUGGCGCGGACGGGCGCGGGCUCCGACGCGGAGGCGAGCUCGCCGGAGUGGAGGCGGCGGGCGAUGGNNNNNNNNNNNNNNNNNNNNNNNNNNNNNNNNNNNNNNNNNNNNNNNNNNNNNNNNNNNNNNNNNNNNNNNNNNNNNNNNNNNNNNNNNNNNNNNNNNNNNNNNNNNNNNNNNNNNNNNNNNNNNNNNNNNNNNNNNNNNNNNNNNNNNNNNNNNNNNNNNNNNNNNNNNNNNNNNNNNNNNNNNNNNNNNNNNNNNNNNNNNNNNNNNNNNNNNNNNNNNNNNNNNNNNNNGCGGGCGGAGGGAGCCGGCGGGAGGCGGGAGGCGCUCGGCACGGGGCGCCUCGGGCGACGGCGGCGGAUGGGCCCGCGCGGGCCCCGGAUGGGCUCCGCGGGCCGCGGCGGCGGAGGACGGCGGAACGCCAUGUGGCGCGCUGGGAUUGGCACGGGGGCGGUGGCGCGGUUCGUCCGGUGGGCGGCGGACAUGUCCGGCGCGGUGAGGGAGGAGUUUUAGGGUUUGGAAUGCGCGAAAUCCGGGGGGAGCACAAAUAUAUAGGUAGGAGGAGCUAGGAGAGUCCAAAUGAGGUGCGGUUUUUCCCACACGAUCGUGAUCGAACGACCGAGAGCAUGGAGGGGGUUUGGAUGGGCUCAAGGGCUGUGGUGAAGAGGAGCUGGACUGCAAAGAGAGAGGGGUUUCGGGCUACGCGGUUAACCGUUGGGGUAUCAAACGACCUCCAAAUGGAACGAAAUUUGACGGGCGGUCUGUCGGUGCUAUACCAAGGCCACUCGGCAAAUCUCGACCUAUUCCGAGAACGUUUUUCUCCCGCUCACGAAAAGAAAAACAGAGGGGUGCAACAGGUGCGGCGAGAGUGUCGGAUCGCGAAACAGACAACGGGGAAAAGGACCGGAUGCAAGUUUUGAAAAGCAUGCAGAGAAAAGCAGAUGAUGACAUGGAAAAAUGCAACACGCAAGCAGAUGACAUGGCAACAACGACGAAUAACUAGAAGACACCUGGCGCAUCUGAUCCGGGGCGUUACAUAGGGCCUGCCGCAGUGUCGUCCAAAUCUUCAUGCUCAUCAGUAUCGCGCGAUGAAGAAUAUGAGCUGGCCACUAAGGAAGGAACUUUGACUUUCUUGAAUUUCUUCGCUGGUGGUUGAGACAAGUCAAAGUCCUGCUUGAGACCCAUUUGCUUCAGAUCUUCUUCACCAUAAAGAUGAGACAGAACAGCCUAGGCGCAAUUGAAUACUUCAUGGAGGUAGAAGUGGUUCUUCUUCACUGCAUUAUGUGAAGCAGUCAUGUUGUGAAGAAUGGAACCAAACUGGCGCUUAACCCAUUUGUGGUUAUGAUCAAUCUUCUGGUGAAGACUGAGGAGAAGCUCACGAUCAGUCAUCACCCUUGGAGCUGUGCCUUGAGGAUUUUGCUUUGAGGCAUUGGCGGCAGAGUCAUGAGUGGUAGAGUCAUCAUUGGUGGAGUAAGAUGCAGCUUUGCGGAACUGACCAUCCAAUGGACGAAUGCCUUCAUCAAUAACAACAGUGGUGUUGAGGAUAUAGCUACUGGUGUAACCCGCCCAGGAUGGGCCGGGUUACGUUGCGACAGCUCUUCAUUCAGAAGCCUAAGGACAUAUUAAGGAUGGCGGUUUAGUAAUGAGCCUAAGGCCCAGAGGCGACUUAAGGCCUAUAGUGUUAAACCGCCGUUAUGGCGUGACUUGUAGUGUAAGGCAAGAAUAGUUAAGAGUCUGAGCCGGACAUUGUUCAUGAGCCGGCCGGGACUCUGAGAGCCGCUGGGCGUAAACCUCUCUAUAUAAAGGGACGACCCGGCGGCGGUUCAAGACAGGCAACAUCAGAUCGAUAACCAGGCAUAGCGGUUUAGCUCCCUGGUCAUCGAAACCCUAAGUAAUUCCACCUCAACUAGAGUAGGCUUUUACCUUCACCGUAAGGGGCCGAACCAGUAUAACUCUUGUGUCCUUUGUCCCGUUUAACCCCUUUAAGCUUCCUUGUUGCGAUGGCUCCACGACUAAGUCCUUGCAUGAGGACAUCUGCCAUGACAAUUCCACGACAGUUGGCGCCCACCGUGGGGCCAGCGCACGGUGGAUUUGAGUUCUUGAAGGGCAGCUUCGAAGGGCUCAAGGGAUACGCCGUGGGCCGGAUGACCAAGAGUCGUCGCGGCAAGCUCUACAUCAACGACGCAGGCUGGGGCCCCGACGCCUGCUCAAUCGAGUACGGGUACCGGGUCCCCUUCGGCGGAAUCCACGUGUUCAUCGGCAAGAUCGGUGAGCCGGGCCCUGAGCCGGACGUCGGCACCGACCUCACCGAGACGGCUCAGCAUGCGAGACCUGCCCGGGCUCUGCCCGCCUUGAAAUGUGCUUUCGUGGGAUGCAUCCACGGAGGACUCUCUGAAGGAUCUAGAUCUAGCAAUGAGACGGCCAUCGGCUCUGAUGAGGGAUCAUCCACAGGUGAGACAGACUUGUUGUAUCAACUUCAAGACGGCAGGCUCGGGGGUUGUUCCGAUGGCAACAGUAUUCCAGACCCCUUUGAGCCGCCAAGCCGGGUUGGAAUCUUCAUGGCCGGCACGCAACCUGUGCAAAACUCCGCCGCUGGGGCAGGAGGCCCUGCGCACUCGCCGGCUCAGGUGCUGAUGGAUCUUACGGAUAAGAUGACUGCCCUGCUAACCGCCACGGUCGUCCCGGCGGAUCAAGCUCAACAUGAUGCGGAGGUGGCAUAGUUGAAACUGGAUAUAGCACGAGCUAAGGAAGAUCUAGCAGCGGAGGGGAUCAGGAUGGCUGCGGAACGGGCGGCUCUAGACGCCCAGACUCAACUGAUUCAGGCGCAGUCUUUCCGGCUCACGAUGGAUCAGAACGCAUCCAAUGAGAUCAUGAGAAGGACGCAUCAGAAGGCUCAAUCUCGACUCCCUCCGGUUUACAAUCCUCGAAACCUCUUCCACACGCCUGGUGCAGGGCCCAGUAACCCGCCAGAAAUCACGGCACCCGGGGCUGGAAUGCCGGUUCAGCCGCAAGUGAUGGGGCCCCCCGAGUGAAUACUGGCCACCUCAAUACGUACCAAUACCACCGGGUCAUUAUUCUAAUCCAUUGGAAAACAUGAUCACUGCGGCGGCGCGACUAGCGGCUCUCCCAGUUGAGGGCGACUCUCCGACGGCGGUCAAAACCCGCCGGGUCAGAGAACUUCUUCAGACGGCUCUGGCGCAACAGGAGGCAUAUUCAUAUAGCCGGGGCAGGAUUCAUUCGACCCCUCGUCCAAGACGGAGCCCAAGUUAUAGCAGACACAUGGUUUCAGCGACCGGCUCAAGCAACGUACGGCGCCAUGACUUGCCAGCUGGCCAUGGCCCGGCGCAUAAUGGAGCCUUUAACGCAUUAGACCAAGACAGAGCAUGUCAAGAGGCGGAGCAGGCGGCUCAGCUGACAGCUUACCAACCCCUCCCGGUUUAUCCAACGGCCUCUAUCGAGGCAGGCAUAGCUACGAGGACCGGAGGUGUCCCCUGUCUGGUGCCGGCUCUCCGUAACGAACGUCUGCCCAAGGAUUUCAAAGGACCUAGGAAGGUACCUAAUUACACGGCGGAUUUACAGCCCAGAGCAUGGAUCGAGAGCUACGAGAUGGCUAUGGAAUUGCUGGAGGUCAGCGAAGCGGCAAUGGUCAAAUACUUCACCAUGACGUUGGAUGGGACUGCCCGCACUUGGUUGAAAGGACUGCCACCUAAUUCGAUCAGGUCAUGGGCAGAGCUAAAAGCCCGGUUCAUCCAAAACUUCAAAGAUACAUGCAGGCAAUCUAUGUCAAUUGUGGAUUUGACUAACUGCAAGCAACAAGAGGGCGAGUCUACAACCCAUUGGGUACGCCGGGUCAAAGAGAUAAUGCAUUCGUCUGAUAAGAUGGAUGUCGGCUCUGCAGUCUGAAUGUUGGAGCAGAAUUGUCGUUUUGCGCCCCUGAAGAUGAAGCUCGGGCGGCUCAAGCGCGAUUGCAAUGAUAUGGGUACGCUGAUGGCGGCUCUGGUUAAGUACGCCGACUCUGAUAGUACCAAGGAUCCCACGUCUGAUGAUGAAAGGACAGGGAAGGGAAAAAAGAAUGGCAACGGCAAGGGCCCUCAGCAUAACCCGGCGAACCAAGGAGGUAACAAACAUAAGGGUGAUAGCAGUAUGGAGUUUGUGGCCAACACCAAUACGCAGGGUAACAGCCAUCGAUGUAAGGGGAGACCACCUCCCCGAUCCGGCGGGUCAGGCCCGACGCUUGAGCAAUUGUUGAAUGAGCCCUGUCCAUGGCAUGGCUCUAGGGAGAAGCCGGCCACUCAUUUAUGGAAAGACUGUGCAAUCAUGAAAGCCUUCAAAAAUUCCAAUGCUUUUAAUGGCAACAAUGGGCAGGGCGGCGGCUUAGGCACCGGCGGCUUUCAUGGCCCGGGCGGCGGCUCAAAUUCCAAUUCUCAGAAUUUUCAAGGUAAUCAAGGGGGUUUUAAUCAGCAAUCUGGCCAGGGUAAUCAGCAGCAGCAGGGGGGAUACCAAACCAAUCCAAAGCAGCUCAAUAGUGGACAGUAUCAUGUGUUUACUACUAGUCUGUGCAAGCGAGACCAGAAGCUUCAUAAGAGGGCUGUGAAUGUUGUUGAGCCGGCGGUUUCACGUUAUUUGAGAUGGUCUGAGCAGCCUAUUGUAUGGAGUAGGGAAGAUCACCCUCCCCGGAUUGAUAAUCCGGGUCACCUGGCCUUGGUGGUGGCUCCUCAGGUUGGGGGGUAUAAAUCCACUAAGGUGCUCAUGGACGGAGGCAGUAGCAUCAACAUCCUCUAUUAUUAGACCUUCCAUCGUAUGGGGUUGACUGAUAAAAACCUCAACCAGUCCAACACUAUUUUCCAUGGUGUGGUGCCCGGUAAGUCGGCGUAUCCAGUUGGUAAGAUCGAACUGGAAGUAGCCUUUGGAGAUGAGUACAACUACAGGGUGGAAAAACUGACCUUUGAGGUGGUUAAAAUAAGAAUUCCGUACCACGCUUUAUUUGGGCGGCCGGCUUACGCCAAGUUCAUGGCACGGCCGUGUUACGUAUACUUGCAGCUCAAGAUGCUGGGUCACAAUGGGACCAUUACAGUUCAUGGCAGCCGAAAGAUAGCCUUGGAGUGCGAGGAAGGUGACGCUGCUUACGCUGAAUCUGUUUGUGCAACAGAGGAGUUGAAGUUUUACAAGGAUAAUGUUGACCCGGCAGAUAUGACGUCUUUGAAAAAGCCAACCACGGAGCAUGAGCCAGUAAUGAAGUUUAAGUCGGCCGAUGAGACUAAACUUGUUGACUUUGUUCCAGGUGACUCAUCUAAGCAGUUCAGCAGCAGUGCCAAUCUGGAUCCUAAAUAGGAAGGCGCGCUCAUCGAGUUCAUCCGUGAGAACCGGGACAUCUUUUCAUGGAAACCUUCUGACAUGCCAGGUGUACCAAGAGAACUCGCUGAGCACACUCUCAAUAUUGAUCCAAAAUUUAAGCCAGUCAGGCAAUUCCUCCGGUGGUUUAAUGAGGAGAGGCGGAAAGCCAUUGGUGAGGAAGUAGCCCGGCUCUUGGCGGCCGGGUUUAUCGUUGAAGUCUUUCAUCCAGAAUGGUUAGCUAACCCGGUGCUAGUGCUCAAGAAGAACGGCACCUGGUGUAUGUGUGUGGACUAUACGGAUUUAAACAAGGCUUGUCCGGCUGAUCCUUUUGCUCUCCCCCGUAUUGAUCAAAUUAUUGAUGCUACGGCGGGUUGUGAGCAUUUAAGUUUUUUAGAUGCUUACUCUGGAUACCAUCAGAUCAAAAUGGCAGUUAAGGACCAAGAGAAGACGGUGUUCAUCACUCCCUUUGGAGCCUUCUGUUAUGUGUCUAUGCCUUUUGGGCUCAAGAGUGCACAGGCGACUUACCAGCGGUGCGUGCAGAAUUGUCUCCAUAAUCAGAUUGGGCGCAACGUUCAUGCUUAUGUGGAUGAUAUUGUGGUAAAAUCCAGAGAGAAGGAACCUUGGUAGAUGAUCUGAAAAAAACCUUUGAUAAUCUCCGGGUCUACAAGAUGAUGCUUAAUCCGGCCAAGUGUGUUUUUGGUGUUCCUGCAGGCAAGCUCUUGGUUUUCUGGUUUCUCACAGAGGCAUUGAGGCUAACCCGAAAAAGAUCAAGGCAAUCACCUCUCUGGCUAAGCCGGCGUGCAUAAAUGACGUCCAGCGUCUGGCGGGUCGCAUCGCUGCUUUGAGUCGGUUUAUAAGCCGGUUGGGCGAAAAAGCCAUGCCACUAUAUCAAAUGAUGAAGAAAACAGAUGACUUUGUCUGGAAUGACGCUGCUAAUGCUGCUUUUGAGGAUUUGAAAAGAUAGCUAGCUGAGCCGCCAGUCCUUGCUGCUCCUAUCGAUAAGGAGCCCUUGUUGUUGUAUGUAGCCGCUAACACACGAGCCGUCAGUGUGGCUGUGGUGGUGGAGCGUAAGGAGGCGGGUAAGGAACAUCCGGUUCAGCGGCCGGUUUACUACGUCAGUGAAGUACUUAUUGAGUCCAAGCAAUGGUAUCCACAUUGGCAGAAGCUUGUUUAUGGGGUGUUCAUGGCAAGCCGGAAGCUUAAGCAUUAUUUCCAGGGCCACCCUAUCACUGUGGUUAGUUCGGCUCCCCUAGGAGAUAUCAUCCAAAACAGAGAAGCCACAGGAAGAGUUGCUAAGUGGGGCCAUAGAACUUGGGCCUCAUGGUCUAAAGUACGUGCCACGCACUGCUAUCAAAUCUCAAGCAUUGGUGGAUUUCAUCAAUGAUUGGACAGAGCUGCAGGUGCCUGAAGAGAAACCGGAUAAUACAUACUGGACUAUUCACUUCGAUGGGUCCAAGCAAUUGGAGGGCUCGGGGGCUGGAGUCGUGCUAGCUUCCCCUCGAGGUGACAAAUUUUGUUAUGUCCUACGGUUGAUGUUUCCCUGUACUAACAAUGCAGCUAAGUAUGAGGCCUUGCUCCAUGGUCUUCGGAUGGCUAAGGAGAUGAGCUUAGGCCGGGUAAGAUGCUUUGGUGACUCAGAUUUGGUGGCCCAACAAGUAUCAGGCAAGUGGGAUUAAAAGGAUCCCCUCAUUGCGGCUUAUCGCCGCGAAGUAGAUGCCAUUGCUGGACAUUUUCAGGGUUACCAAGUAGAGCAUAUUGAUCGCAGCGAAAGCCGGUGCCGCCUAAUACUUUCUUGGAUACUCUGCAUAACCCUUCUGUCAAGUUUCCUACAGAGGAAGACUUGGCUAUUCUUGACCCAGAAGCACAGUUGGUGGCGGCUCUCCACGUUAUCCCAGAUUGGACAGUGUCGUACUUGGCUUACAUGACCCGGGGAGAAUUGCCUAAGGAUGAAACUUUAGCCAGACAAAUAACCCGGCGGUCUAAGUCAAUGGUAAUUGUCAAUGGCGAGAUGCAUCAUCGCAGUGUCACGUGAGUUUUUCAGCGUUGUGUCUCCUCUGGGGAAGGUCAAGAAAUUCUACAUGAGAUUCACGAGGGGGAUUGUGGCCAUCAUGCCGGCUCAAAAUCCCUUGUGGCCAAAGCUUUUCGUCAUGGUUUUUAUUGGCUGACGGCUCAUGCUAAUGUAGAGGACUUGGUCAGUAAGUGUGACGGUUGUCAGAAGUUCUCAAGACGGGCUCACGUGCCGGCUCAAGAGUUGAGGAUGAUUCCAAUCACUUGGCUGUUUGCAGUCUGGGGGCUUGAUAUGGUUGGGCCUUUCAAAAGGUCCAAGGAUAAGAAGACCCACCUCUUGAUGGCGGUUGACAAGUUCACAAAGUGGGUUGAGGCAGAGCCAGUUAGUAAGUGUGACGCAGCCACGGCGGUCCAGUUUAUAAAAAGGUGAUAUUUCGCUUUCGUUUUCCACACAACAUUAUAACUGACAAUGGUACCAAUCUGUCUAAAGGCGCCAUGGAGGAAUUUUGUCAAUGAGAGCAUAUUCGGCUUGAUGUUUCAUCAGUGGCUCACCCUCAAUCCAAUGGUCAAGCUGAGAGAGCCUAUCAGGAAAUCUUGAAGGGCAUCAAGCCCCGGCUUUUGGUUCCUUUGCAACGGACGCCGGGUUGUUGGGUGGAGGAGUUACCCUCCGUAUUAUGGAGCAUCAAUACUACUCCUAACAGGUCUACGGGUUACACGCCUUUCUUCAUGGUUUAUGGAGCUGAGGCGGUUCUCCCUAGCGACAUCCGUCAUGAUUCGCCUCGAGUAGCGGCUUAUGUUGAGGCGGAUAAUGAGCAAGCCCGUCAAGAUGCUCUUGACUUGUUGGACGAACAGCGUGACGUAGCAGCAGCUCGCUCGGCGAUUUACCAACAAGACCUGCGCCGCUAUCACAGCCGCCGGGUUAAGUCCAUGGCCUUUCAGGAAGGUGACUUGGUGCUCCGGCUCAUCCAGGAUCAAACAGAUGCACACAAGCUAUCCCCACCAUGGGAAGGGCCCUUUGUGGUCAGCAAGAACUUGCACAACGGGUCAUACUACCUCAUCGAUGUUCGGGAGCACAAAGAUUCACGUAAGUCGGAGGAGGAGACCCGCCGGCCGUGGAAUAUAGCUCAGCUUCGGCCUUAUUACACUUGAGCCACCGGCUCUCAUAAUGUACAUAUUUCUAUAGCCAUGUAUAUAUUGUGAUAAAUAAUAAAGCAGGACCUCUGUCCUUUUUUCCUUCAAAGUUAAAUGUGUCAUUGUUAUUUUCAUUGUAAUAUUACAUGGUCACUUGGAGGUUGAUCCGGCUUAUGAUCGUAUUCGAAUCUAGCCGUUAAAUAUAUGAUCACUUGGGGGCUUCCUGUUCAAACAUAGGUCAUAUUCGAACCAAAGAGAACAUAGUUGUCGACGCCCGCUUGAUUGGCAUAUUGCCGAGCUCAUUGGGGAAAACGCCUCUGGCACUGGGGCACACUCCUCUUCUAUCGGGGGAAGCGGGUUGACCAGACGAUGAAUGCGCCCUUCUUGGUCAGGCCUCAGUGGUCUGCCAAUGGCGAUCCGAGGAUUUAAAUCAGCGAGGCUCUGGAGAUAACCCAUUACCCGCUGAGUUAAACGCUCUUGGGCGAUGAAGUACUGGGCAAGGUUGGCCAGUACUGGAUCUCUCUCAAUGCGCCCACCGGGGAAAGAUGCAACUUCUCCGGGUGCUGCACGGCUCGGAAAAUAAUAGUACCCUCGCUCACUAGCGUAGGGCACCGCGAAUCGAAGGCGGGUGAGCGCCUCGUACGCAGCAGCUUCUAUGGCCAUCUGUGGAGUCGGCAUGGAUUUCCCCACGAAGGAGACUUCCGUUGGAUCUUGGUUUGGGUAGGCGGGAGGGAUGUGCACCACUGCCCAAUAUUUUGAGGUGGAUGGAGUGAUCCUCGAUUUGAGCAACUCGUACUGGGGUGGACGGGUGGCGCUCAUAGUACUGCAGGUAAAGUCCCACAAUAAUUUGACAAAACUGCCGGGGGUUGCGUCUGGGGUUCUCAGAUAAAUACUGGGGGUCGACAUGGCAAGGAAUGGCUGUGGGUGCUGCGCACAAGGUGAGGGGUGCUCGGCAAGGUCACGGAGUGGCCUUUAUAUAGCACCGGGGCUGGGGUAUCUACCGGGGUGAAAGGCGACUGGCUGACGAUCCUGUACUCGGGUCAAAGCCACAGAUAUACAUAUCACAUAAAGGUGACGCAUUACUGUGGGCGUUGACGGGGUUGGUCUAGGUGGCUGCGCCCAAGAAAAUAAAAAAAAUGCAAUUGUACGCCAACGUACACAUGCAUAGCUACUACUGCAAAAAAAAAUAAGAGCGCUCAAACAGACAGCAUGCAACAAAAGCGAUACAAGGCCACACAUUAGAAAGCGUAGGGAAACUAAGGCUCGAUAUAACUUUGAGCGACUUAGUCUACUUCGUUAAUGUCCAAAUGGGCUGGCCUUGCGGACGCCGAUGCUUCUCCACCGUUCUCACCGUCGGGAUUUGCUGGUUGAGGCUGAGGUGCUGCAGGGUCGGGGAGAUGGUGAUGACCAUCCCGGGGGUUGUUGGCCCAAAUCCCGUUGGAAUGAGUUUCCAAAAGGCGAUGAAGCGCUUCUGGGGUCACCAAAGUGCUCUGGUGGAUGGCUGGAGCAGACCUUGGGGGAUCGAUCGGGUGUCCGAACAGCACGACUGGGUUGUUGGUGUCGGGCUCCGCUUCUCUCCUUGCCGGGGCUCGGCGAACCAGCUCUCCACGAGCUGCGAUCAGGUCCAGAGUGACCUGGUCGAACAGUUGCUCUAGUGCGCUUACAUAGCGCACCAGAUGCAGCAGCGCAGGAUCCGUCUCAUGGUCUCCGUUGGCAACUUGGGGCGGCCUACCAUACCCGUCACGACUGGGGUAGUAGUAGAACAAGCGACAGUUAACUCUGGGCGACAAGUGCCGGAGUUGAACUAUAGCUUCUCGGGCUGCCAGUUGGAUGGCUUGUGGCUCAAAGGAAGUUGUCCUGCGAGUGAACCUGUAGGGGCGUUCUGGCGACAGACCCCUACCGUAGAUGUGCACAGUGGCCCAGUACUGACGGCUUUCACCGUACAUGGGUCCUUGGUACACAACAUACUCAGGAGGUUCUUCUAACGCGUAGGAACGGCGGGUGAGGUUUGCGAGCACGGUCACAAAACCUCCAAGGUUGGUCGCUGUGGUCUCAUUGUGAACAAUGGGGCCAGGCAUCGUGGCUGGGUUUGCGUAAAGAGGCUGUGCUGUGCCGUGGCUAGCGUGCCCUUUUUAUAGGAAAAGGGGACGGAGUCUUCCUCCGCACGCUUGCGAUAGAGACGGGUUGGACGUCGGUCACUGGCGCGUGAUCGACGUGCUAGGUUGAUAGGUUGGGCACCGUCCGCCGAAAAGGCGUCGGGUCACUGUGGAGCUACCUUACGCGGGAAGCUUGACCGGGGUCAGGCUAAGGUCUGAUGGUUUGGGAUAACCUGGGUUUAUUGACCUGGCUAAGAUAGGAUUAGCCAAUGGUCAGCCUGGCUCUGAUACCAAGUCUGUCACGACCGGAUUUUUGGGAUAUAAAAUCCCAGAAAAACGGCCUGUGUGCUCACCAGCCCCAGGAUUACUGUUAGCUGAUGAGGUACCAACUUGAUACAAGAAUUCCAAGCAAGGAACAAAAAUAUGUAGUACAAGACCAUUUAGGCCUGGGAGUACAACACUUGGUUUCUAAUAGUUGAGGGCGGAAGCGGUUGGAAACAUCUGCGUCUAUGGGACUCCAUUUCCCACAAGAACAGCUGACCAGGAUAACUCCUAUCUUCGCGAGGCUGCAAACGUCAACAGCGUGGGUUCCGAGGUUGUCACCGCGAUGCUUAACUCCAAGCAAGGAAUCUGGCCAAGACAAUAGCUAGGGACAAGCCAGUGAGUACGUUUGAAUGUACUCGCAAACAUUAAGAACACGGGUAUAAUAUAUCAAACAUGCUCUGGGUUAAAUAAAAGAUCACGCAUCUGCCACGAAGAAUACGAAAGACCAAGAUGCACCCAUGUGGUAAAAAUAAUUCAAAGGAAAAAUACUGGGUGCCAAGCGAGUGUCUGAAUGACUCCUCGAGCGGAAAAUGCAGAAAUAAUAAUACUGGUGCCAAACGAGUGUCUGAAUGACUCCUCGAGCGGAAAAUGCAGAAAUAAUAAUACUGGUGCCAAACGAGUGUCUGAAUGACUCCUCGAGCGGAAAAUGCAGAAAUAAUAAUGCCGCAGUCGGGCGUCGGGGCGACACCACCUAAAGGGCUUAUAAGAGAAUAAUCACAGUGAAUAUCCAUGAGGUAGGACCGUCCCAGGGAUACUCAAUAAUAUACAUAAAAUAAAUGGUUAGUCCAUAAUAAUAAAGAUCAUAAUCCAAAGGUGCCAUAAUCAUAAACAAUAUUUAGUACAGUCGUUUCUCCAUCCGAAAACCGAUAAUUCAGUCAAGUCGUAUCUCCAUCCGAAUACCGCUACUGAGCUCUAGUUAAACCGUUCUCCAUCCGAAUACCUUUACAGAGUUCUAGUUAAAUCGUUCUCCAUCCGAAUACCGUUAUCAAGAUUUAACCCAGACUGUGGUCCUAUACUCAAGAACAUGACUAUCCAACAGGAUGUAUCCUCUGCAGAGGGAGUACCAUUUUCCACGAGUAACGGGAUUACUCAGUCCCUCGGGACUAAUUCCGUCUACGGUCUUUUGAUUGAAAACACGCCUGACCUGCACACACCAGCUUAACUCACCAGUGCCUGGAAUCACCCACGACACCUGCCAAGCAAAACUCUAAGUGGGGAGGCUACAACCUCGACGUAGCAUGGGAUCACAAAAUUUAUACCGCGCGCAAACUGGGGAAGCUAUCCCCUUCGGCUACAACCGAAAACACCCAUGCCCCCGGACCGAAUGACAGGCUUUAAUCCGUGGCCACGGGACCUUCAUCACGGCCUCUCUGUACGGUGUGUGCUUUGGAAAGGGGUUGACAACCUACUGAACCAUACCCUGUCCCCUGCAGGGACAAGUGGUGGUACCGACAAAAGGAAGCUACUGAACAAGACUCGGUCUACAACCGACUCAGGUGAUCCAAGUAUCCACCAACAAUAUUACCACUAGUGAAAUAAAUCACCACUCCUCGAGCCUCACCAUGCUAUGCCGGGCAUACUCGUCACAACGAGGGAUUAGGGACAAGCUCGUGUCUACCCAAGACCACGACUUUCCCGCUUCCUACCGGUGUGCAAGAGAAGCUCACGAGGGCGAUCCAAAUCCUCAGGGUAUCCAUUGCUGGCCACAAACAACUCCAAAGUGCACUCAUGCACGAGACUACAUCGAUACAUAAACUGUCACUUAUACUCCAAGACAAAAGGUGAUGUGAUCGUAUCCAAACACCACAACAAAUAUUAUGCCAGAUUUCAGAAAUGCUUGCCUUCAAGAGUAUGCAAAGGAUGCACUUAUUGGAAGCUUUCCUUUUCCUCCAAAAUCCUAUUUUGCAAAAUACACAAAUACAAAUAUUUCAAACACAGUACCAAAACCUGUCUCAAAUAUUUUUGAAAUAAAUCUUAAAAUAAACUAGAUGAAAUUUGAGAGAGGUAGGAAAAAGAAUCAACUCAUUUGGAGUUUUAUUUUAAAAGUUAUAGCCAGUCAAAGUUUGGUCAAAUCUGUUUUUAAAUAAAACCAGAAAAAAGGAAAACGCUUCAGCAGAAAUACGCUUUCGCAGCAGAGGAAACGCACUCGGGGGUUUGCGCCUCCACUUAAACAGAGAGAGGGCGCUGCGCGGGUCACUGACAGUGGGUCCAGAGGGCCCACUGGUCAGGUUUGACCGUUCUCCCUCUCCCUCCUUUUCUUCUCUUCUGCCCGACAGGAGCGGGGCUCCGGCGAUCGCCGGCGAUGGACGGUGGCUCCUCGGGGGCAUCUCUGGGCGGGGAUGGAACGGCUAGACCGAGGCGGUCCUUUGGGUGGUUGAAGGGUCGACGGAGGUGGCAGGAAUCGCCGGCGGCGAGCUCCGCGGCGGAGGGAGGCUACGGUGGUGAAGUGACUAUGUUGCUCCGGUGGCCUCCGACCGAAGCUGGGUAGCUGGGCAGCUCCGCAAGACUACGGGGAGGUUCUUGGUGGCGCUGGAUUGGCAAAAGGGUGGCCGGCGGCGACGAAUCGCGCUGGGGCUUGGCGGCGGCCGAGCUGGCCGGAGUUGGGGGAAACGGUCCUCUCCGGUCGAUCUACUGCGCGGGGAGCUCUACGGGGGAAGUCUGAAGUCGCGUGAGUGCUCGGAGGGGCUCGGGGACCCUUUCUAUAGCGUGACGAGGCUGGCUCCGCGGUGGCAGCAGAUAAGAUCGCCGGCGACCGCUUUCCUGUAGUUGCAGGGCAUCGUGGCGGCGACGAACGCGUUCCGACGAGCGGGGGGAUAAGCACGAGCUAUUCACAGGGGCAGCUGGCGUGCGCUGGUGGUUUGGGCGGUGCCGUCCGCGGCGGAAUCCACUGCCGACGCCGGCGUGCCGCCAAGGGCGCGGCCAGCGGUGCAGCAGGACGCCAGAGGGAUCGUGGAGCAGGGGGGCGGCUAGUGCGUGGCUCAGCGAUGCAGAGGGAGCCAGGGUCGGGUCGCGUCGAGCGCGGCAGUGCGGCGUGUCGGCGUAGUGCGCGCGCGUGCAAAACGUGCGCUCUGGGCGCGCCCAGAGCACGCACGGCAGGUGCUCGACGGAAUGCUAGCAUGGUCUAGAGCGCGAGGGUGGAGCUGGCAAAGCACAGAUCGAGGGUAGGGGUGGCUAGGAGCUCAGUGGACAAGGUUGAUAGGGCUGGGGUACAAGUCCACAAUGCAAACCAGGGAGCUUGCCAAAAAUGACUGUGCACACCAGGUGUUCGACAGAAUGCCAGAUGCACAUAGGCAACUCCUGGAGUGGCCAAAAACUCCAGAUCAGUGCCUCCUUAGACACAGGAGAUGGUGGUAGGGUCAGCUUGGCAAAAACAGAAAGUUGAUAGUGCAAGUUUUGCAAAACUCCAGUUUUGGGCAGAAAGAAAAGGGGUUUAGAACACUUCAAAACCUCCAAUGAGCCCAAUCUCCUGGACUUAAGAGUUUGGUAGGGAGGGCUACAAGUAGGAAAAAGCUCAGGGUCAUUAGAGCAAGGAAAAAUAUGGUUGCAGUACAAAUCACCAAAUUGGACCAGAAUGCAAAAGAGGUUGAUCCACUCAAAUUUUCCAAAGAACAUCAUUGGGUUUUUGCUUGAAUAUGAAUUGUAUGCAUCCACUGUCAUCUCCAAACACUUGGAAGAAUUUUUGAAGAAAUAUUUAAAUGGGUUGCAGUGCAAAAGUGCCUACUGGACCAGAUUGGAAAAGUUGGUGUAGAGCUCAAAAUCUCCAAUGGCCAAGAGGUAUUUUUGCAUAAAAGUGAUGUGGAACCAUCACAUGACAUCCCCAAAUUUUGGUGGAAUUUUUAAAAGCAUUUGUCAAGUGGUUGUAGUGCAAAUAGGCCCCAAAUGCAAAAGGAAAUCAUUUUAAAGAAAGAAAGCUUUUUGAAUAAAUAAAUCUUGCAACAUUUAAAUCCACUGAUAAAAUAAUUGUUUUAUUAUAGAGAGAAAUCAAGUCCAACAAUACCUUUGAGGGUUUCUCCCACUAGAGGCAAAAAUCCAAUAUCACAAAAGGCAAAACUUGACAAUUGGGAAAAGUUUUAUUUCCUGGCAAUAUUUUAAUAAACAAAACAAGGCCAAAAAAAAAUUUUGGGUGUCACAACACUACCCCCCUUAAGAAAAAAUCUCGUCCUCGAGAUUUGUUAAAAGUUGUAACGAUGAUGCGCGAAUAAAAGGUCUAUGCCGGCAAAAUGCAUAUAUACGCAGCAAUAACUCGGGGAAAAGAAAUAUCCUUGAAAAUAUGUUGCGAGAGAAGAAGUAAUUAAAACAAGGCUAACAGCAGUAACACUGCUCAUAAAACAGGAACUAAAGAAAGUCGGAUCCGUCGCACGAGGAUUUUACGAACAUGCUGCAACACAUAAAUACAAGUACUGGACAAUAAAUAUAUCGGAGGAGUUUACAUGGAAAACGGUAAAGCGACAGGGUCCUGAGAAAACGCCUCUGGCACUGGGGCACACUCCUCUUCUAUCGGGGGAAGCGGGUUGACCAGACGAUGAAUGCGCCCUUCUUGGUCAGGCCUCAAUGGUCUGCCAAUGGCGAUCCGAGGAUUUAAAUCAGCGAGGCUCUGGAGAUAACCCAUUACCCGCUGAGUUAAACGCUCUUGGGCGAUGACGUACUGGGCAAGGUUGGCCAGUACUGGAUCUCUCUCAAUGCGCCCACCGGGGAAAUAUGCAACUUCUCCGGGUGCUGCACGGCUCGGAAAAUAAUAGUACCCUCGCUCACUGGCGUAGGGCACCGCGAAUCGAAGGCGGGUGAGCGCCUCGUACGCAGCAGCUUCUAUGGCCAUCUGUGGAGUCGGCAUGGAUUUCCCCACGAAGGAGACUUCCGUUAGAUCUUGGUUUGGGUAGGCGGGAGGGAUGUGCACCACUGCCCAAUAUUUCGAGGUGGAUGGAGUGAUCCUCGAUUUGAGCAACUCGUACUGGGGUGGACGGGUGGCGCUCAUAGUACUGCAGGUAAAGUCCCACAAUAAUUUGACAAAACUGCCGGGGGUUGCGUCUGGGGUUCUCAGAUAAAUACUGGGGGUCGACAUGGCAAGGAAUGGCUGUGGGUGCUACGCACAAGGUGAGGGGUGCUCGGCAAGGUCACGGAGUGGCCUUUAUAUAGCACCGGGGCUGGGGUAUCUACCGGGGUGAAAGGCGACUGGCUAACGAUCCUGUACUCGGGUCAAAGCCACAGAUAUACAUAUCACAUAAAGGUGACGCAUUACUGUGGGCGUUGACGGGGUUGGUCUAGG